GGGGCCAGGGGGUCUGGUUUUAUAGUCCCCUCAAGUGAACCUGGGCCGACGGAUCAAACCGACAUUGAUUGAACGGUUAUUCUUGAUCCUUUAGGUCGGUGGAGCAUAAUCCGCGAGAUUGAGCGUGAUUGGCCACAGGAGGUGGGCGGGCGCCCAGUAGGACAGGGCGGGCGCCCUGUCUCUGGCCCCGAUUCGCCUCCGCUUCGGUCUCGUGGCUUCUGGAGUCUUCUAGAUGUAAGAUAAUUGCGCGGCACGUUGAUAUCUCUAUGUAAUCCCGACGUGUGGGCCUUUCUUCCUUAUUUCCUGAUACCCCCCUGCAAAAAUAGACAAACACCAAAACUCGUGGAAUUCUGUCAGAUAAAACCCUAAGUCUUGAUGUUGAUUUCAUUUUGGUCCUUUUCUUUGUUUAUUUGAUAGUUAAAUUUGAUACUUAAGGACCGUCAACAAACUCCCCCAAGCUUACCUCUUGCUCGUCCCUGAGCAAGGAUAGACUCAGCUAUGGAUCAUAGGUUGUUGCAAUAUCUUUAAAAAUUGACGGUACACAUGCUUUUAAAUGAGGUCUCAUCUCUGAGUUAGAGUAAACUGUCAAGACUUAAAACUUACUUACUUUACCUUUUACCAUGGGACUUGUAACCGUCACUUCUGUAUUGAGUGGUUAAAAGAUAGAACAGUCUAGUCAAGUGCCAUGUCGCUUAUUCUUGAUCAGCUAUAGCUCUGGAGUUUUUGCAGAUUUUCAAAUAAAACUCAGAGAUUCCUUUGUAUGACUCUCUCAUAUCUCUCUUUUGUGGUAUUUCUGGAUCCUUACCAAGGCAGUGAUGCUAUAUGCCUUAUCUCAAGAUAUGUGGUAUUUGUGGUAUAAGGCAUAGUGACAUUGCCUUCUCUCUCACCCUACUCUAAUAAGGCUUUAAUAUCUGGAGCUCAUAGGUGGGAGAUAAAAUAUACAUACUUACAAGACAUUUAUUGUAUAGUCAAACCAUGGAUCCAAAGAAACAAAUCAAUAAGCCAAAUCAAGAUGUGCAUGUGUGGCGAAUGAAUAGUGUAUGGUGAUGAUGGUGAUAACAAUGGUGAAAGUCUAAUUCUACUUUUGCUCUUUUGAGGAGAUACAUACCUUCCUUGCUUUUUGAAACUUUAUGAGGAGAAUGAGAUGCUCUUCUUUUUCUUUUCUCUCAGAUGGGUAUCCUGUACCCCUAACUCUACUGUCGGACACUUGUCCAUUUUUACCUCUCGUCUCACUCUUUUUCUUUUCUUUCGAGGUUCCGGGCACUUGCCCCUUUUUAUUUCCUCAUUUAUUUUUUUUUCUUUUCUUUUUUUUUCUCUUUUUUUUCAGAGCACUCAUCUCUUGAGAUAAUAUAGCAAGUGGUAGUAGCAAGAUAACUUGAGCAUUUAUUUCACAAGGGAAAAAACACAGAUGUUUUUGGCUAUUCUCUCCCGAAUUAGGAGUAGAAUAUUUUUAGGUGAUUCUGGAGAUGGAAAUGGAUGGAUAUACGUGGAUGGUACUUCCGGGGUAGAAGUAGCAUAUAUAUGAGUGAACGUGCAAGUGAAUCUUGAUUUAACCACAUGACAAGCUCCUAAGGGUCUACACAGCUUGACCACACUCAAUGCUCACAAGCAGUAAAUAAUAAAUGUGUGGCUCAAAGUCUAGCAAGCAUGUAUAUAUGGCUGUGGUAGGAAUUUAAACUUUCAUCAUACAGGAACUCAUCAUGCAACAUUUUAAAGAUUUUUCAAAGAUAAAAUUCCCCAGAAUUCUAGCAUCUCUAGGAAUAGAUAAACAGCAGCUCAACCUUCCCAUAUCAUAUCCGUUAACAACUUAGAUUUCAGAUCAAGUUUUCAUCCCACAAGUUUGGAUCUAGAGCAAGCUUUAAAUUAUAACAGUUAUGUCUAAACUUGAGAGAGAACUUCAAAUUUGCAAAUUAGGCAGAGCAACUAUUCAUCAUAUCCAUGCUAGAGUUUUAUUAUUAAGAUUCAGAUUAGCAUAGCCACUUUAUUUAUUUAUUAAACACACUAAGCAAAAGAUAUAUAUAUAAGCACAAAAUCUUUAUUUGGUUUUUCAUAGUUUAUGUAUUUUAAUAUUCUAAUAUAAUAUAAGUAUAAAGAUAGGUAGAAAUACUUAGCGAGAUAAAUGGGGGUGCUCCCCCCAAGCUGAAUUUUGACGUAAUUUCUCUUGAUGUAGCUAGCAGGUGGCAGAGGUGUAUUUGAAAGUCAGCAGUAUUCUGACAGCGAUUAGAAUGUCCUCCGUCUGCUAGUCUUCUUGAUUCUUAAAUUCUGUGGAGCUUAAAUAGACAACAAAGCUUGUGGAACUAAUUAAGUGUUAGCAUAAAUAUCUAGCCUUCAUCACGUUGAGCUUCCUCAAUAAAUAUUACUCCCUAUUUUUAUAUUUUUAUUUUAUAAAGUAGAAAAGAAAUAUUUAUUUUAUUUUUAUGCCACCACAGUGAAGGUACUUAUGGGUUUUAUGCCACUCGUAUACUCACAUGGGGCUUAGUAUUUCUAACAUUUUUAUUUUCUUUUCAAGAUAGCAUGAUUAACUAAUAAUCUAUUUAAGGAAAGUAAAUAAUUAAAUGGAAAAGGGAAUGCAGAAAGGAUAAAUAUGGAUAACUACCAAUCUUACCUUUCAGCGAGGGUUCAAUGUUUUAAGUCUUCUUGUUAAGACUUCUCAUCGUGUUCAUUCUUCAGGUGCGUCAUUUGAUUCAGGUGCGGACCUUGACGUCUGCACCUUUUAAUACGGUGUCACCCAUGUUCUUCGUUUGCCCAGGAGUUCGAAGUACGAUGUUAGCAGUAUCUUGCUCAAUGUGUUUGUGCUCGUAGUGUACCUGCUCAUAGAGACAAGGCAGAGAUCAAGUGCAUGGGCCCUGUUGGUGGAAAACACCAACAGAACCAAAAGUGUAUUUGUUCUUCUCUAGCCUUAAGCAUAGUGAGCAAGACAAGUUGAUGGAUGAUAUGUUCAUGAGUGUAGCACUUAUAACAUUUGUCAAAUCAGAUCGCUCAACCUUAUGGAAAGAUAAUCUAUCUAUGUAUAUGUCUUUCUCUUUAUAUCUCUCAAUGAUUGAAUGUGUAACAUUUUAGCUCAUAUGAUUAGGAGUGUGGGAUCAUGGAGGUAGUACUAAGAACAAGGAUUAAAGGACUAAACAUGUUGAAUCAGUUGGGUUGGUUAAUCUAGAGUUGUAAAUCAUACACGUUUGUCUCUUUUAUUUAUAUGAACGCCAGAACCAAGGAGAAGCUUAUAAAAGAGAUAGUCAAGUACCUUAAGAUGUUACCUUGCUUGAAGAGUGAUGGUACAGUAUCAUCUUGUGGAAGCUUUCCUUUCUUAGCGGUUGUGUGUCGUGUUUGUGGCACCUUCCAUGGAUCAUCUCUCUAUGAUGAAUGAGCUAUGUCCUUCUUGUGCAAAUUGUUAAACUUCAUGUGUCACUCUCUUCGUCUCUAAUGUGAGUUUAUCUCAGGACUUCCCAAAUUGAUAUUGAAAGUUUUUCUGCAGGGGUUAGUCCGACAAAAUAUUCCAAUAUCUACUCAAGCAGUUUUUUUUAGUUCAAUAACCAAACUAGACUCCAUGUCUAAUCAGAUUAAGGAAGGCUAUUUAACCUAAGCACCAUGCUUAAUUUAAAUGCCAAUGGAAGUAUGGCGAGUACUUCCAAACCAACACUUGCUAGUAAAUAGACAAAGGUAGCAUGACAGCGUUUAUAGAGAUCUACUCAAGUGGAGAUGAAGUAGUGUGAUUAGUAUUUAACAAAUUGAGCAUGUCUCAAAGGUAGGGACAAUCAGCAUAGCAACAUGGCAAAGGAUGUUUUUAUGUAAAGUACUCCCCCAAGCUUGAAUUUUGCAAAAUUCAAGUUUGGAUGAAUUUAAUUCAAUGUUGUAUGAUGAUUGGUUGGACAUACCUUGUGCUUGUCAUUCAUCCGAUCUUCUUGCUCCAAUCUUAGAAAGGUUAGUGACAAGAAUACCCGAAGGACUAUAUUUUUUUUUACAAUUAUCCUUAUAUGCUCAAUACACAAGGUAAUGUUGCAAAAAAAUUAAAGGCUCAUGUUACGAUCUGAUCAAUGCUUAUUUUAAGACACUAAGCUUGUCCUUGGGAAACCAUCAGUUUAUGCUGGCGAAGUGGUUUCCCCUCCGACACCAACCUAUAUCUAGAUCAACUCAACGAGAUCUGCAAUAUUUAUUAUAGACAUAUGCAUCGACAAUCACCCUUUUAAAUUUUUUAUAAAUAGAAAGGAAGAGGGGGUUGGAGAUCUCAAGUGUGGUGAUGUCGGAGAGACCAAUAGAUUGGGAAGAUGUUGCAUAUGAGCAUGGAGUAAACGAAGUGGCUAUGAAAUAAAUUCCAUGCUCAUUAAUGUUAUCUUUGUCUCCAAUCUGAAUGUUCGGAGUUUCUCCUGGAUUGGUCUCACCUAUGUCCUCUUCUGUAGUUGGAUGAAUCUCAUCUUCAAAGGGAGUCAAGAACUCACCAUUUGAAAUUGAGCCAAAGUCAGAACCCAUUAAGGCUUCUUCCUUAUCCAUCCAUUCUACACAUUCUAGCCAUUUAGAACUUGUGAUCAAAAUAGGGGAGGUGUUAGAAUUUUCUAUAUGGCUUAGCUCUCCAUCUAUGGCAUUACUUGACAUGCCAUCCUUAUGGUCUUCAUGACUCCUAUGGUUUGGUCGUCUUGGUGAAUUGCUAGGAUCAUCAUGAGACUGAAAAGAAGAGGGAUAAGAGGGAUCUCUAAGGUCAAGGAUGGAUUUAGAAGUUGUGAACAUGGAAGGGGAGUAGAUAGAAUUGUCUAUAUGGCUUAGCUCUCCUUCACUUGAUAUGUCAUCCUCGACUUCUUCAUGAUAGGAACCAGGUAUUGAUGGUUUAGGAUCGAUAGCUAAAGUUUGGGAUUGAAGUGGUUGUGAUCUGGCUAUCGAAACUUCUUCUUCUUGUCUAGGAACUGGUUCUUUCUCUUUCUCAGGGAUAUAAAAGCUAGGAGACUUUCCGCUCAUUAAAUCAAUCAAAUUCCAAGCUUCACUAGCGGAUAGGUGGUGGAAAGAUCCUCCAGAGGCCGCAUGAAGGGUUUGCUUAUUUUUCCUACUAAGGCCCUCAAAAAACUGAAUUAGAAGAACUUCUUCUGGAAUAGAAUGUUUUGGGCCAGUGAGAGUAAGGUUAAUAAAGCGGUCCCAUGAUUUGCCAAGAGAUUCUUCUUCCAGUUGUCUAAAAGAAAGAAUCUCACGCCGAAGUUCCACCACUUUGGAGAUUGGAAAAUAUUUAGAAAGAAAACUACUAUAUAACUCCUUCCAAUCUCCAUGAACACUCCCUACUUUGAGUUUAUACCAAUGUCUAGCUUUUCCCGUUAAAGAGAACGGAAAGAGCUUCCAUUUAAGGGUCUCAUUGGACAUGCCUUCUAUGUGAAGGAGGUCACAGACUCGAUAAAACUCUCUUAGGUGUGUGUAUGGGUUUUCCUCACCUUUUCCUGAGAAAGGUUGUUUUUGAAUAAAUUCUAUGUAUUCGGGGUCUAUCUCAAAACUAGAUGCUAUGAUAGGCUUUGAAGAUUUUGGUGGUUCGAGAUGUGUGCCCAUAGGUCUAUGAAAUUCAUAGAUAGACAUGUUUGAAUUCAUAAUAGACCAAAGAAUAGCAGAGAUGAGGCAAAGGAUAAAAGGAAAAUAUAUUAUUUAUUUAUUUAUUUAUUUAUUUAUUUAUUUAUUAUAAAAUGAUUAAACUAGUUCGUAGUCAACUCAGCAACCGUUUCCCCGGCAACGGCGCCAAAAAUGCUUGUUGACACUUGCUAACACCACUUGAAUACUAGGUUGUCAUCCCCAGCGUGGCACUAGAGUGUACUAUGGUAUUUAUACGCACACAGAUAAUCCGCAAGCGCACGGAUACCGUUGAAGCUUUUACCCGGUUAAAGGUUUUAUCGUAUCCACAGGGAAACGGGAGAACUGAUCUACGCUCUAACUUAACCAAGAUAAGUAAAUAGGUGUGAAUAGGAAAGAUGGUAGAAUCGAAUAAGAACAAUAUUAAAGGUAAGAUAACAGUGAGUGAUAAUAUGGGAAUAGAGAGUAGAGCAAUUCUAGUAUAUGGGCGAUGGUAGCAGAAUAGAGAGGAUAACUAUGGUUUCUCUACUUCAAAGGGGUAUGUCUAUGUCUGGGACGAACCACGUGAUAGGAGUACACCACAAAGGAUGCUUAUCCAUAGGCCGAUAAACCCUACCCGUCCUGCUAACGAGAGGUGGACUACAGGGGACCAACGUAACUGUCACCUACGCGGCCUACCACACGAUCCAGCUAGUCAGGGGAUAUCCACAAGUAAUCUAGGUCUAAGCACCACGCUUACACCUAUACUACAACUCUAACCUAUAGGGUCCUAUAGAUUAGAAGUACUCAAAAGAGUUGUGAACCAGAACAUACAUGAUUAGUAAUUGCAUAAUGAAUUAGAAGUAGAUUACCAGAGUCAUCCCAUGAGCAAGCUUGAUUAGAGCUUGAUCAUGGCGAAGUACAACCGGAGGAAGAACCGACAGGCCGGCCUCUCCUCUAAUCCUCCUUCGCUCUCCAUCUCGCUACUAUCUAGAUCUACUCUAGUUUAGAGAAGAGAGGAGAGCUCUCAUCUCUAAACCCUAGCUUUUGCUCUGUCUAUGAAUAAUGAAUAAUGAUCAAGGGGUUCCUCCUCCAGGGGCCAGGGGGUCUGGUUUUAUAGUCCCCUCAAGUGAACCUGGGCCGUCGGAUCAAACUGACAUUGAUUGAACGGUUAUUCUUGAUCCUUUAGGUCGGUGGAGCAUAAUCCGUGAGAUUGAGCGUGAUUGGCCACAGGAGGUGGGCGGGCGCCCAGUAGGACAGGGCGGGCGCCCUGUCUCUGGCCCCGAUUCGCCUCCGCUUCGGUCUCGUGGCUUCUGGAGUCUUCUAGAUGUAAGAUAAUUUUACGACACGUUGAUAUCUCUAUGUAAUCCCGGCGUGUGGGCCUUUCUUCCUUAUUUCCUGAUAACCCCCUGCAAAAAUAGACAAACACCAAAACUCGUGGAAUUCUGUCAGAUAAAACCCUAAGUCUUGAUGUUGAUUUCAUUUGGAUCCUUUUCUUUGUUUAUUUGAUAGUUAAAUUUGAUACUUAAGGAUCGUCAACAAGAUCCAGGAGUUGUGGUUUGCUCCUUUCCCCACCUGGUUUCCAGCAGCCCAAGAUCAGAGGGCUCAUGCCAGAUUCUACACAAUGGUUCAGGAGGACAUGUACUAGACAUUUGUCCAUGCUGAGACUCAUUUCAGGGAUCAUAGGGCGCUAGACAUUGAGGUGCUAGGGAAUGUGGUAGGUGCGGAUAUCAGACAGUUCUUCACAUACCUAUUAGGGUUCCCAGGUCUGCUUGCUUUGCCGGCACCUACGUCAAGGAGUGGGUCAGAGAGUUCUAUGUUUCAGUUUGGAUAGCUCCUGACCACAGCUACAUUCACUAUGCACUGGUAGGCACAGACUACAGAGUGCCAGCUAAGAGGGCUAGAGAGGUUUUGGGGCUGACAUCUUAUGCCACCAGGAUUGAUGAGUUGUGCUAUGGUAAAUUUGAGCCCCCUCAACGACCACACGGCGGUGCACUCCCCCAUGUUGACUUUGUUGUGCCGUGUUUUCGUCAGCCUUACGGUGAGGGCUCGAGUAGGAUAGUGGGUGAUCUUACACGCCCAGCUCAGAUCCUAUACUUCGUGAUGAGGAAGACUCUUCUUCCCCAGAUUGGCUAUAGAGAUAGUUUCACCAGGAUCCAGCAGUGGUUGAUAGCUCAUCUGAUUGCUCAGAGGCCUUUUGACUUGUGGGAACUGAUAGUGUCAGAGAUAGAGGACACAGUUGCAUAGGGAUUCAGGGGUCGCCGUCAGCUGCCGUACGCACAUUGGAUCACUUUGCUUAUUCUUCGUGCUAGGCCAGAGCCCCAUCUAGCUCACGUUCAGAGGGAGUUGACACAUGCCGACAUAGUGUUCCCACACUACAACCCCCGACAGAUGUUAAGAGCGCACCAUGAUCUUCGAGCUCCAACUCCUCCUCCUACACCACGUGGCUAGGUGCCACCAGCUUCACCUAGGGCUACACGCAGUUUAGGGGCAGUCCCAGAGAUAGAGGAGGAGCAGGACAUAGCUAUUGGGGCAGUAGCAGAUGCUGAGGCCGAGGAGGAGUUUGAGUUUGCUUCAGACAGUUCAAACAAUGAUUAUCGUCUCCUUGUACCAGAUCUUCCUGAGAGACAGCACGACCACAAGGCAGGAGGCUCUUCUAGUGCCAUAGAACCAGCUCUGCUAGCUAUACUAGAGGGGAUGAUGGUAGAUCAGUGUAGAGCAGCUGAGGAGCAGGCUAGGAGGAAUAGAGACCAGGUUGCCAUCAAUGCAGUCAUGUAGGCCAGGCAGGAUGAGCUUUAGAGACAGCUCUCCUGACCUUUCAGGAGCAGCAGCUGGCUUUCCAGGCCCAGCAGACUGCCAUGAUGGCCGCUCUUAUGGCUGCAUCAGGGAUCCAACUACCGCAGAUACAGCUUCCUGGCACCACUUCGGUCAGGCCUCCGACUCCAGUGCCACAGCCCAGCGGGCUUCAAAAUCAGUCCAAGGUGCCGCUUCAGCUACCCGCUCAGAGUUAGCCGUUCUCGACUCCCCAGCACCAGGUCUCGCACGGUGCGAUCUCUUCUGGUUUUGAGCAGGUGCCCCAGUUUACCUCUCUACGCUCAGGCUUUACACCGCAGUCAGCUACAGCUUCACAGCUUGUUGGAUUCGUCGACAGGGCAGCAUAUCUCUUUCUCGUACAGUGCUUUGACUGGUGACCCUACGCCUUCUCCACUGUAGGCUCUUGCAGCUUUUACUCUCCCAUUCACCACUACUGAGCGCCUGUCAUUGUCAAUGGCCUUGUUCGAGCAGCUAGCACCGUCUUCUACAGUGCCAGAGACGUCAGCUAUAGCUACAGAGUCUGUGCCAGCUUCUUCAGUAGGACUUGAGCCACAAGCACAGACAGUGACAGCUAUAGAGCCCACAGAGCAAACCCGAACAGAUUCUCCAGCUCCUGUAGUUUCCGAGGGUCACUCCACCUCCUCCGAGUAGACGGCAGAUGGUUCCGAUGAUGCUGCUCAGUUCCAGGCCGUGCCUCGCGACUCCACUACUCCACCUCCGCCUCCUUCAUCUUAGGUUUUUGGCGCUUGAUGCGAAAGGGGGAGAGAGUUGAGAGUAUGAUAGAGGUAGGGGCAGCUAGCUAGUGAGUGAGUGGGCUUUGAUUAUUUUGUGUGCUUUAUGCUACUCCAUGCAUCAUGUCUAUCUUUAUGCAUUUGUGUGAGUUACCUUGUUUGUGAGAUACACUUAUGGUUGUGAGACAUGACAUUUGCUUCACUGUGAUAUCUUUAUGUCAUGUGUUUGGCUCAUAUUACUUUGCUUCCGCGUUUUUACUCUGAUGUACUAUGAGCCAUAUGCUAUUACAUCCUGUUGUAUACAUCUCACGUAUUUGGAUGCAAGAUGAUAGACUUGGUUGAUAUAAGCGUGCCUAAUCCCUCUUGUGUUCUUAUUGUCUCAUGCUUAUAGAAACCAAGCCUUUUGAAAACCUCAUUUCUUUCAUACUCGAGGUCAUUGUCAUCAAUCACCAAAAAGGGGGAGAUUGAAAGAGCAUCUAGGCCCCUAAUGAGUUUCGGUGAAUAAUGACAAUGUUGAUUACUGUGACUAACAUGUGUUUUGCAGAGGCAAAGUCAUUAGUGUUAGGUCAUGGUAAUAGGUACUCGAUGAACAGGGACGUACAUGCCUACUUAAUAGUGGAAAUCAUUUUUGUUUUCAAAGGAUGGAUGGACAUCGUCAAGACUAGACUAGGUCUAAGUGCCAUAUGGUGAAGAAGGGCACUUAGAGUAGUUCAGGACUUUGUUUUCCUUUGACCGUACUAUUAAGAGGGGCUUUGAUCUAGUAGCUUGACUUAGGCAAGGCUUUAGGUUUAGGUGUGGUGCACACUUGGUAAACCUAGCACUAGGCGGCUCAGAGAUAGUCCUUAGAUCGAGAGGAACAAACUUUGUUUUGGAAAGAUCGUGUUUCGAUGAAGUUUGGGUGCCUAAGUGGGCACCGGACGUUGCACCGGACGCUCUGUGAGUGCAUCCGGUGAGGUCAUUUUGAGUGAGAGUGCCCGAGUCCCUAGGGUUAGGCACUGGACGCUAGAAUCGGACGCACCCGGUAGCGUCUGGUCCUAUACCCAGGGAGGUCAAAAGGUGACCAAGGUCACCGGAUGCUAGCACCGGACGCAGCGGGUAGCAUCGGGUCCUAAACUCAGGGAGGGUGUAAAGUUCACAAUCGCACCGGACGGUGUCACCGGACGCUGGGAAGUAGCGUCCGGUGUCACCGGACGCUCGGUGCAGAGCGUUCGGUGCAACAUCAACAGCGUCCGGUGACCCCGUUUUUAGUGUAAAAUGGUUGGCCGACCCUUAGACUUGAUAGGGUGUAUUUAUACUCCUCCACGUCGUCCGUGGGAGGUCUCUUGCCCAUUUGUUCAGUUGAGAAUCACCUUGUGGUGCAAGAGAGAAGCAAGAGCCUCGAGAGGAUUGAGAUUUGAGAGAUUUCUUAUGAGAAUCCUUCUCUAGUGGAAUUCCAAGAGUCAAGUGUGCUUCCACAACUCCCUAGUGCCUUGAUUGGGUCAAGUGAGAGUUCUUUGCUUGUUACUCUUGGUGAUCGCCAUCACCUAUACGGUUCGGUGGUGAUUGGAGGCACGAAGACUGCCCGGAGUUCUUGUGAGCUCGUGUCAAGCUUGUGAGCUGUUUUGGGUGAUUCACUGCGACGGAGUGUUGAAGAAUCAGCCCGUAGAGAGCACUUGGUCCUUGCACGGACCAAGGGGGAGCAAUACCCUUGCGCGGGUGCUCCAACGAGGACUAGUGGAGAGUGGCAACUCUCCGAUACAUCGGUAAAACAUCACCGAGCACUUUCUUGCCCUCUUCCUUUACUUUCUAGCAUUUACUUUGUGCAAUUACUUUGAGUUUUUACAUUCCUAGAAUUGCCUUGCUAUAAUAGGAUUGGAACUAGGUUGCAAAACUUUUUAUCCGGUAGCUCUCUAGUCACUUUAGGCACAAGGGGUGAAAUUGGAGCUUAUAGGUUGCUUAAAUUUUAGUGAAGCCCAAUUCACCCCCCUCUUGGGCAUCUUGAUCCUUUCAAGGAGAACUCGAUAAACCACAUUUCACGGCACGAUCAUAAAUGAGAGAACAAGCUUACAACAUUCUUAGUCAUUUCUUACAUCACUUGCUUAGUCAUUUCUUACAUCACUUGUAUUACAACAUGAGAGUAAUACAUGGAUGGAAAUAAUAAUUCAUUUAAUGACAUGUUAAGUAUUAACAUGGUGAACAUUUGCAUGCAUGAACUGAUGACAGAUUGUAAGUCUUUUCCUUUGUAAAAUAUUUUUGGUGAAGGUUGAUGAUAAGUAAAAUUCUAAACUCACAUCGCAAGGGAGAUCCUCCCUGAGCCCACUAGGAGAAAACCGCACACACAAGUAUUAGCUCACAACACCUACUACCUGCAACAUGGUUGAACAAACCCUGAGUACUCAAUUGUACUCCACAAGACUUAUCCAUCACGAGGAAAAUAAAAGACUCCAAAGAUUAUGCAAGGCUAUUUGGCUGGUGGGUUACUUGCAUAGCAGAAGAAUUACUAAGAGUGAAUCCUUAAAGUUCAUUUUAUUCACAGUCAUGAUUCAUUCGUUAAUAAACCAUUCUAUAUAAGCACCUAUGCUAUUCCAAGAAAGAGUUGAGCAAAUAGAACCAUUUUCCAAGUUUCAAUUCUUACUACGGUGCUAGACCAUAGCCAUGCCGUAUCGUCAUGACAACGGCGAUUCGUGAAUCAAUGUAUCCCAGCUGGGUACUCCGAAACACACGCCUCACCUGCACCCUAGGUGCAAACAAGAACAACCGAUUCCACUCCUGUCGAGGAAUCCAGGUCCCCGUCCAAACAUGGACCCUAAGCCCCCGCACAUAAGACUUGGCCUUACUACGGUGCUUAGAUCUUCACGUGUCCCCACCUCCAAUCAGUCGGUUUGGAAAGAGCCGGAACCCACGAUAAGAUAGUAAUGAGUCUUCCCGCUCCCAUAAGCAAGUAUGUGCUGAGUAUAAUAAGUCUGUGACCUGACUACCGUCUACAGCAAUGGAUGGUCCUCAAAUGACUCAGGCGAAACACGUGCAACCAGAGCCUCUCUCAAGUCCACAAACCAAAUCCAAAUAUCGUUCCGCCUGGUCUCCAAUUGUCAUCCAUAUAUAAUGUGGUAACAACAUUAAUACAAAUUUCCUAUCUCUCGCGAGUGACAAUAAUCACUCGUCUUCUACCAGAGAUCCUAUAGCAUAGCAAGCUACAUGAUCCUGUCAUACUAGUAAGACUCAUGGGAUAUAUAUAUAUAUAUAUAUAUAUAUAUAUAUAUAUAUAUAUAUAUAUAUAUAUAUAUCUGUGUGUGUGUGUGCAGGUGGGUUUCAUUCAACUCCUUGAAACUUAAUGCACAAGCAUAAAGUAAAGUGCAGAAUAAUAGGGGUUAUGAACCGGAGCUUGCCUCGAAAACUUAUAACUAAAGUUAGCAUCUCAUCACGGUAACACGAUCAUCAAGGCAGUUCUUUUGGUCACUCUAGAGGACCCCACGAUCAAACAUGCUCCUAUUAUGAUAUUCGUGGAGAUAAUCGCUGAGACGUAAAUACACAGCGGAAAUCACAACUUAAUACAACUUCGCCUCUCAUACUAACAAACUAGGUCACAGACUAACGUACUAGGCUGUGGAUCUAUGUUAUCAAACUAAACAAUAUUUCCCGAUGAAACCUAAAACGUUGUUUACUCUAUUUUAUUUAUUUUAAUAUAUAUCCAUAUAUGGAUUCAUUAACUAUCAUAACAAACUAAAUAUUUUGGGGUUCCAAAAAUUACAGAAAAUUUUAUCCAUUUUAUCAGGAACCUAUUGUAAAAUUUCUAGAAUUAUUGCUAGCUUGGAUUAAACAUGAAAAUUAAUACAAGUUCACAUUUUAUCCAUUUUAACCAAUUUAAGAAUAUAUGAAAAUCUUAUGAACUAUGCGAAAUAAUCAUACCAGUAGAUAGAUCAUGAUUUUAGGAAGCUAAAAAAAUUGGUUUCACUAUUUUUGGACAUCUACACAAAUUUAUAUUAAAUUUAAAAGUUUGCUGCAGAAAUGGAAUUAUAAAAGCAUUUUGCAACGAAAGAGGGCCGACUGCAGCGAAUUCGCCCUACACCCAAGGUCAACGCGGGCUUGCAUGGUGGACUGACCCAACAAAUGGCCCACACUGUGAAGUUUACGCCCAUGCUGACCUAUAAGCAAAAAAGCCCCUGCGCUAAAGGUUUAUUAUGCGACACCUCAGAGCACUAUUAUGCAAGACAUAUAAUUUGCAGAAAGCACCCCCAAUAAACUCAUCUUCUCAACGAGCUAGUCCUUGAGGACCUCACACGCAAUGUCACGUCUCUGGCCAGCCUGGCGCAACUGUGCCCAAGAGCUAAGUAGUACUCCAAGCCGACGAACAGGCCGAACAAAAUCUAUGGGUCGCACGACAGCAAUAGGGAGCCACAACAUGCCAAAAGAUGCCCCAGGAUGCUCUACAGUGAAGGACGACAGUUCACCGUCGUGCCACAGCCAUUCGGACGAUCCUACUCUCUCUCGGAGGUGAAGGGGUUGUGCAUGUGCAUUAAGGACUCACUAAGAGCCAUGCCAUGGUGAUGGUUGGAGCCAACAAGAGCCAUAGUGGCCUGGCCAUGUGCGAGCCGCAGGGGCCGCGAUGCUCCGAGGUGGCAUGGUUGCAUUACCCUAUCUCUGGCCAGUACCCAGGAAGAAAUAAUGCGAGCACUAGACAACGGGAAGCAAGAUUAGCUUAGAGGUACAAGGAAUUGAAUCCAUUCGACUCUAGCCCAACCUCGAUGGCACAACGACGCUCUUGGCCGGCAACAAGCAAAUCAUCAAAUUGACAUUUGCUAGAACUUGUUUACGACCGACAAAGGGCUGGGAAGCUAGCCACUUCCUCAGGCAACCCCAAGGUUCGAGGAAACGAGCAGAGAGGCUCUAAGCAAGGUGGAACGGAUAGGCAGGCAUCCAUGGUGGUUAGAGCAUGGUUGGCAGCCAUGGAGAGUGUACGCAAACAAGCCAAGCGAGUUAAAAAGGGCGGCUCUGCGCGAGUUAAGGUGGGGCUUUGAUCGAUCACAAUAGUGCCACACAUGCGCAACUAGGGUGGGGCAAGGGAAGGCUUGGCUUGAUGCAUUUGAAUCAAAAUGACUCGACCAUGGCGAGGCACGAACAGUGACAACAUGACCUAUCGAUGAAAUAUGGUCGGCAGUCUACCUAAGGGUAUGCCCAAGGUAGUAGAUUGUCGGCAGACAGGUGCACAAGCUAUGAACUUGAUGGUGACGCAAGACACAGACAAGGAUUUUAUCUAGGUUCGACCGCCAUGAGGGUGUAAUACCUAUGUCUGUGUCUGAUUGUAUUGAUGAUGAAUUGAGUUGAUGGGGGUCCCCGACCUAACCUUAUAUAGUCAGGGGGCAAGGAUACAAAUUUAGAAACUAAUCCUAGUCUGGUAUAAUUGCUAUAGAUAGUUGGAUAUCAAUUUAACUGACAAAGAUAUUACUUGAUCUCCAUGUCUGCCUUCAUGAAUCAUCUUGUAAUGGGCCAAUCCUUUCGCUCGAACCUAGCCAUAUGGGUAUAGGGGUUUAUAUCUUCACAGCUAGUCCCCAAGCUCCAUGUAUUGUGAUGCGACACGCCAUCUCAAGCUUCUUCGAUCAAUGAACUUGACAUCUCCAACCAGCAGGAAAAUCAUUCGAGUAAUUAGUUCAGAAGACAGUCGACCACCAUUGACACCGAAGAAGCAGGUUGUCCAAAUAAUGCAUGGUGCUCUUAAGAAAAAAGAUUUCUUUCUUGGUGAAUUGUGCCCACUUUACUUUUGUGAAAUCCAUGAGGUUUUAAAAAAGAAAGCAUAUUCACCGUAAGGUGAAGUGUGGCCACUUAGUCCCCGAGCGUGGUAGUAGGUGAUGUAGACACAUGGUGCUAGGGUCUAAAAAGAAAAUUCUGCAUAGAAAUUCUGAUAAUGAGAUGCAGCGCUAGGUGCAUCGUAUCGAUGUAGUCCCCGAGCUUGCUGGAAGGCAAAGUAUGAGCUUUGUAGCAAUGUCGAAAAAAUUAAAAUUGCUCCACAUUUGUAUAUGAGUCUAAUUUAUAUGUAACUGAGAAGAGCAGUCCCCAUGAUGUGGUCGGAGAGUGAUCAAAGCGAUCCCCAAGCAUAACAUAGGGAGUAACUGGUGAGUCCCCGAGCGUGGUUGGGAAUCUAAACAUGCUCGGUGGUCAGCAUAGUCCCCAAGCACAAAGUAGGGACUGAUCGACGAGUCCUCGAGCGUAAGCAUGCUCAGUGGUCAGAGCAGUCCCCGAGAAUAGCAUAAUGAAUGGGUGACAAGUCCUCAAACAUAGCUUGGAAAGUAAUGUGCUCGGUGGUCGGGCCAUCCCUGAACACAAGUCCCUCCUUUGUUUUGUAGCAUCAUAAUUCUUUAUCUUGUCAGCAUAUUAGUGACGUCACUUUAUUCCAACUUCAAGCAUUAGUUUGUCUGCUUUAACCUUGUCAGACUGCACAACCUGUUAGUAGCAUUAAAAAUCAAAUGUACUGUAAUGCAUAAAAAGGUAAGCCAACAAAGACGUAAUAGGUUGUCCCACACAAGAACCAAAACAAACUAGGCACACCAGAACCAAUGAAUGGGAGAAACCGCUUGUAGAUUUAUGAGGACAAUAUUGGGAACUAAAAUGGCACUCUCGGUGUUAAUGGUGCACGCCCCCUAGAUUUUUUAGGGAGUGGGGAAGGUGACACCUACAUAAUAAAUAGCCAAACAAAGAGCAACAACCAUUCUUCACCAAGGCAGCUGCCAUUCCACGUCUGCACAAGGUUGAAAACUAGGUAAUUGCAAGGAAUUACAGCAGAGCAACUAUUCAUCAUCUCCAUAUAAGAGUUGACUUUAGAGGUCCAUUUUAACAGAUUCAUUAAGAGCUCUCCUUAGGCAGAGCAGCUAUUAAUCAUCUCCAUAUAAGAGUUUAUUCUAGAGGUUCAUUUUAACAGAUUCAUUAAGAGGUCUCCUUAGCUUAGCAAGAUUAAUUAUGAAAUAUAAAAUAUUUAUUGGGUUUCUAAAAUUAUUCAUCUUUUUAUCUUGUCAUGACGCACUAGGAAUAAAUAAGUAAGUAAGAGAUACUUAGCUUGGUAUACGGGGGUUGCUCUCCCCCAAGCUGGAUGUUGACAUAAUCUGCUAAGAUUGCUGACAGGUAGUGAAACCGUACUAAUGCUCCUGGAGUGUCGUGGGCACUUGCUAUUAGAAACAACACUGGGCUGGUGCGGAUAGUACUCCGAUAGGGGACAGGACAUCCUUCUUCCUGUUAGUUUCCUUGAUCCUUUAAAGCUUGUGAAGCUCAAAUAGACAACAAAGCUCAUGGAACUGAUUAGUAAUAGUCCUCUAAGCUUUGGGAGUCUAGAACUUUCUUAUACUCAUUUAUCUUUUAAUAGGAUCAAUAUAUUUUUAUGUUUUUUAUAUUUAUAGUAUUGCAGAUAGGAAAAUAAAUAUGCUAAACUUUAUUUUUGUGCCAUCAUAGUAGAAAAGUAUGUGAGAUGUUGCAUCACAUAUUAAAUACAUGGGGCUUAGUAAUUUUCUAGAUGCAAUGCAAUAAUAUAUUUAUUUUGUUUUCUAAUGCAGAAAUAAAGUAAAGAUGCAACUACUAAUGCAUUUAAGGAAAGUAAAUAUGCUGAAGGAAAAUUGCAGAUAAAGACCAAGUUACCUCUUGGCGCGGCGUUCGGUGAAUUUAUGUCCUCCGAACAGGACCUUCUUGUUUGCUCAAUGAUGGACGGCCACGUCGGAUGGCGCCAUAGGUGUUGUGUUCUGUGAAUGAUUUGAAUUUGACUUUACCUUUGGUUUCCAUACCUUUUGUUUAGAUGAUGGUGACUUGGAGGAGAGAGUGUUUGGAAUCACUAUCUUUUCUUCAGCUGGUACCUCGUCUUUGACGGUGUUCUCCUUGUCAGGGUAUCGAUCUUCGAAUCUUGAAACCUCUCUUUUCUUCAUAGUCGGCCCAUCCAUCUACAACAUUCUUCUUCUUCUGGUGGCGGGUAUGUUGCCUUCUCCUUGACCUAUUUGUCUUGGGCUCCUCCUCAAUUAUAUAAUUGCUAUUGAAAUGAUGGUGUACCUUUUCUGAGGGAAAAUGGAAGUGGAUAUACCCUGUUCUAAUGUAGAUAAUGGCCAUGGUGGUGUUGAGGAAUGACCUUCCUAGGAUAAUGGGUAGAUCACACUCAUCUUUUCCAAUGUCGGUGACCACAAAGUCGGUGGGGACAUAGUGGUCAUCGAUCUGGACAUGGACGUCUUUGGCUAUCCCUUCCAUAAAGCAAAAGGACUGGUCCGCCAAUUGCAGCUACACAUAGGUGGGGUCCAUAGGCAUAGUAGCAUAUAGAAAUUCAUACGUUACCUUGGACAUUAUGUUGACACCUGAUCUAGUGUCAUAGAUAGUGUUGUAAAAGUAACAUCUAUUGAUGGAGCAUAUGAUACUCGGGACACCUAGGUCAUCUUUCUUGAUCAAGCUUGGGACUUGAGUAGGUAGUCAUACUCCAUGUGGAUUGCAGUGACUGUUGGCAUUUCUUAGCGUCACUACUAAAGAUAGACUAUAAAUCCAUCAUUAGCAAUGGCACCAGAAAUUUCUGGUGUUGGUAUACCAUAACUAUCGUUACGUCAAAGAGAUAACCCAAGGCCUUUAACGGCGCCGGCCUUAGCAGUGCAGUCUGGUAACAAUAAUUAGGAAUGCCAGAUUGGCCAUCCUAACCAUCCUUACUUACGAUAUGCAAAGCUCUAGCACGGCACCAGAUAAAUGUACAGAGUUUACAAUCUUAAGUAACGGUACUUAGGUACGCCAAUCAAUAGUUCAUGAAUAUAAAGAAUAAAACUACAAGCGAACAGAACUAUCAUUGUAGCAUUUCAACCCGUGAGUAUUCAAGGGUUAUCAUAUUUAAUCCCGUAGGAGGGCAUAACAAAUGCAUCUAGCUUGGUUUGUAGCAUGAUCACUUAUUGAGAUGCAUAGGUAGACAUAGUCUAAUCAGGGGUCAUCACAGGCUUUUUAAAAUAUGGAUAGAGGCACACUCAUCGGGGCAACCUCAAGGAAUAAAGAGAAAAUAAGGAAAUAAAAGAAAUAAAGAACAACUACUUGAGCUGGCAUUGAUCUUAUAUAACUAUGCAAAGAAUUGUUAGUAGAACAUCUAAUCAAUAUAACUAGAGUUGGAACUAAGUCUGAGGCUCUGGGGAGAUCCCCGCAGCUGGACAUCCAGCGGAUAGGGACUUUACAGAACUCCUACCGGAAUACCUGAUCAUGGGGGAAUACCACGGAUGACAGGGCUGUCACUACCCUGCCACCUACCUCUCUACCCAAAAGAUACCCGUGCAUCCGAUGAUCUCCGCAUACCCGAGCACCUCGCCCGUGUAAUUGGAAACGCCUCCUAACCUCCCGGGACCCCAACCCUUCGGAUUGACAGGCUCGACUAAGAGUGGCCAUCACAGCCCAAUGAACCGUUACCCCAAUCUUAAUCCUUUGUCUAUUCAUACUAAUUCGAUGAAUGAUAAAGAACAAGGAUGAACACAUCAAGAACAUAGCACAAGAACUAAGAACUAGUUCAUAUACUAUGAACAAGAUAUGAACACAACUAUACUCUAAUUCCAUUGCAUAAUCAUAUAAAUAAGAUAAGAACUUGCUCAUGGAUGCAAACUAAAUUGUAUUCAUACCAAGAAGCUCUAAGAUCCUCCAAGGAGACAAGCUCUCCUUGCUAGCUUUGCCUUGCUCUAUUACUGAAUCUAAACUAAAGAACAAGUGUAGAAAUGUGAGGUGUAUUGCUCCAAAUGAUGGUGUGUGUGUUGAAUGGUGUGAAGCCAUCUAUUUAUAGCCCAACAAGGAUGGUUCAUGGUGAUCUAAAUUUGGUAGGAGGUGAAACCAUCCUAUGCAUGUCGUCAUGCAACCGCCUAAAAAAGGUGGGACUGAGUUGCCACCACGGGGUGGGCGCCCACACCAGGGUGUGGCCGCACCAAUGGUGAGCCCCCCUGGCCACCGCCUUCGCGUGGUCGGUUCGUUUCUAGGCCGUGAUCCUUCCCAUGGUUACGGAUGGAUCCAGUUCAGUGUUUUGGUGGGCUUUUCCAUUUAUCUUUGAUUUGCGCCUUUUCUGAAUACACUUUCUUGAAGUGCGCUUUCUCGUGUCUUUUGCGCCUUUCCACGUGUCAUACCUGAAAUUGAUAUUUGCAACAAAACUUGUGGAAAGGUUAGUUCAAAGCCCUACAAUCUAUUUAUUUUAUUUAUUAAAAUGAUGUUUAUAAUUAUAAGAUAAGGGGUACAAACAACUCCCCCACACUUGGUCCUUUGCUCAUCCUCGAGUGAAGGCACUAAAUACCAAAUGGGAUCAUCUUCCUUGUCAAAAGAUUCUGCAUACAGGUUAUUCCAAGCUUCACCUGGACUUAUGAACUUCAAAGUGUCUACCAAGCUAUCUUGGGUAGUUGAAACUUGGAACACCAUGGAUUGAAAUCCUCUUACAUAGUCCCUGCGUAGAAACUUGGGGUUUUGCAAGAUUUUGAAAAAUAAAGAUAGCAUAUGUUUCUUGAAUGAUGCUCUCAAGUCCCUCCUAAUAUGUGAGUGGUUCCUUACCAAGGCAUAAAGAGUUGAUUCCUUCUUUUUUAUCAUCCUACUUCUAAAAGGCUUAUCUAGAGUUUUGGGUAGGUAUGAUGGUGGAACUUACUUACCCUGCAUAUGUUGUCGAGUCAAACCCAGGACCAUACCGGAGGGAGUGCGCCAUACCCUUAGAUUAGAAUGUGCAAGUGUGUGUAAUUUUUGGUGGAAUCCUAUCACUACUUUUAUUGCAACAUUCCUUGCAUCAAGACUCUCUUUUGAAAUGAGACAAAAAACUUGAGAGGAUAUGGGCUAUAAUACAAAUUUUUUUGGAGGAGUAUGAAUCUUUCCCUGUUUUUCCUCCUUUGGCUUUUUCUCAUAAUAAUUUUUUAUAUAUAGCCCAUUCCUAUGAUUCUGAUGAAAACGAAAGAGAGCUUUAUGAUAACAAAUGCAAGGAAUAUAUAUAAAUGCACAAAUCUUAGGGUGAGAUAUUGACAUUUCUAUUUGGUGGAUAUAUGUGUGCAACCCUCAGUGUAAGAGUUGGCGAAAUUUUGGGUGGAUGGAGAAAGCAUGUUGUGCACGACUUCUGAGUGUGAGAGUCGGCUUCUAUUUGGUGGGUGCAAGUGAAUUCUGAUCUUAGAGGCAUGAAACAUCUCUUGAGAGUGGUCCAAAAAUUUGAUCAAACUCAACACAGAGCAAGCAGCAUAUGUAGAAGAUUUAAUCAUGAACAAAUAUUUGGCCAUGGUAGGAAUAAAGCUUGAUCAGUCAAGAAACUUUCUAUUGAAUUUUGCUUUUUAUAAAAGAAAACCUAAGUACUUUGCAAGAAUCAGCAAGCAUCAUGUCAUCCCACUAUAUCACAUACGUCAAUUACUUAGAUAAAAUGGGGUCCCUAUAACAAGUGUUCAUAAAUCUCUAGGGAUAUUAGCUAAGAAUAAAAAGUAUGCCAAAACAUAUUUGAACAUAGGAAACAUGUUCGAUGGAGUAUGAAGGUAACAUCAUUUUAAACAUUUCAUUUGAAAAUCUUUUUGGGGGAAGAGGAUUUGCACAAACUGAGAUUUUUGAUUGAAUAGUCCUUCCCCCACACUUGUUUCCUUUCCUGUCAUGGUUAGUCACAAUAUAUAUAGAAAACAAGUGCACAAGAUAAACAAACUUUUUUUAUUGAUAACUUUGAAUAGGCACAUUACAUUGGAAGGGAUAAAAUAUUUGAAACAUAAAUAUUGUGAAAAGGAAAAAUGUGCCUAAACAAAGAUUCAUGCAGGAGGUGUGGUCUAAAGAUCUUCAACAAGGCGACCAACACCUAAGGCUUCAACGACCUUUCUAAGUUUAGUAUUAAACUUGAAGCAAAACUUAUUAACAUCAUCACUGAGGUUCCUAAUCUCAGUGUUCUUUUCCUCUAGGUCGUCUUCUAAAACCUGUAACUCAGCACGUAGGCUAGCCUGCUUAGCUAAAAGCUCGGCUAUGAUAUUGAGAUCAUCUUCUUCAUCCCUGCUCUCGUAUUGUCCUGCAUGAUGCUUGAUUGACGGCUGUGGCAAGUGCUUCCUGAUCCUAGGGAGAGUACUGGAUGAUUCCGUCUUCUUGGCCUUGCCACCCAUCUUGCUACCAGCAUGAUUGCCUUGCCUAUCACCACUAGGGGCUUUUCACUUAAGUCCUAUGUUGCUAGUGGCCGAACGAGCAGUAACGGGUAUGUCGGCAGCGCUAUUGGUGGUCGCUUUGUGGUUUGCUGGUAACAACGCUAAUAGCUUUCUCUUUCAACAUGGACCUCCUUGCUAGAACUCUCUUGGUAAGGUGCUAUGUCUAGAUUGGCUAUGGUCUUGGGAGCAAUUAUCAGCGAGAGGGCACAGCUAGACAUGGUCACUACUGAAGAAUGGGAGAGCUUAGCAAUCUUCACAAGAGGGAGAUGAGAAAUGGUUGGUGUGAGAAGAGAAGAGGCCUAUGGAGGAUUUUAUAGGUGCUAACACAGUCUCUGAUCUGGAAACAACUUGAUCGUAACCAUGGACGUGAUGCUAAUCAGUGCAGAAGAGGAAGGGAAAAAGAUUGGGGCCGAUUGGCGGACCUGGGGUUGCACCCGCACCAUGGUGCGGCCGCACCACUGGGUCCACCAGUCGGCCUCAGUCUUUUGGGUAUUUCUUUCCCUCUCUGAGUAUUUCGUGAUCCUGGUUACGAUCAAUCAUGAUGCGCAGCAGAAUCAGAGUGAUAUUGUGUGGAAUAGAGUUUUGAAUUUUGAAAACUUUCUAAAAGCUAUCACACUAUCAUGCAUUUAUGAGUGAUUGAUACCCAUGAUCACAAAGAUUCAAAAGUGAAGAAAAGAUCAUAGAGGCAAUAUGGACUACUCAUUAAUACAAAAAAUGCACCAUUUAUUCAAAACAUAAAUAGAAAGAAUUUAUUCAAAAUAAAUAAAUAAUUCAGAAGAAAAUAUAUAUUUAUAUUUUUUAUAAGUGAAAACUUACCUAGGGAUAACUUACCGAUUUACCUUCAGCAAUGUCUCAUCUUUAUAGUUCAUUGAGCGGGACUCUUCUCCCAUUACUUCUUGCUUGAUGAUGGCACAUCCGUCUUGGGAGGAGUAGAUGGUUGCACCUGCUUGGGCCUCCACUUUAGUAGUAUCACCUUUGGAGGUGUGGAUGUUUGUUAAACCUUUUGCUUUGGUUUCCACUCCUGCUUCGGUUGUGAAGGCUUGGGGACUUCGUCCCUCUUUUCAUUCUUUUUAGGAGCUAUUUUCUUUUUUCUGCUCCUUAUUAUUUUUCUUAGGAGCCGCCUUUUCUUUUGGCUCUGGCUUUUUCUUAGAUAUUUUUGUAUUUUUUUAAUAAGUUGAGGCUGGAUCUCAACUUCCCUGAUGCCUUGGGGGUUUGGCCCAUAGAGGAUGCGUAUCAUGUUGCACUCUUGUUGAUGGCGUGGCCUGAACUCGAACUUCUCUUCUUGGCCAUUAAUGUUGAAGCGGAUUUCUCCAGCCCCAACAUCAAUCUGUGCUCCAGCUGUACUCAAGAAUGGUCUUCCUAGGAUUAGUGGUGUUUCUUUAGUGAGCUCCAUGUUGAGCACCACAAAAUCCACUAGAACAUAGUAUCCUCUGAUCUUGACAGGGAUGUCUUGAGCAAUCCCUGCCGGGUACCACACUGACGAGUCUGCCAACUGGAGUGUCAUGGUGGUUGGCUCCAAGUUGGUGAAGUUCAGCUUGUCAAAGACUGAUUUCGGCAUGACGCUCACACUCGCCCCCAAAUCACAUAGGCGUGGUCGAAUUGCUGGGCCCUAAUUGAGCAACAGAUUGUGGGGCACCCAGGACCCUGCUUCUUCUCGGACAGCUCAUUGAGUAUAGCUACGCUACAUUCUUCUGUUAGCUUGACAACUUUAGUGGACAGCAAUGGUUGCUUCUAGUUGACGAUGUCCUUGAUGAACUAGGAGUAGGAUGGAAUAUGCAAGACAUCCAUCAACGAUACACUGACGUGCGUCUUUUUGACCAUUUCCAUGAAGCGGAGGAACUGUUCAUUUCCGUCCUUCUUCUUCCUCCUUUCUCUUGUGGGAAAGGGUAGCAUCGUGGUGUCCCCAUAGUUGUUUGGGGUCGGCUCGUCUUCCAUGGAUUCUUCUGAUGGUUGAGCCGGCCCUUCUGCAUGUGUUUCCUCCUAUUGUCGUGGCGCCCUUACUAUCUUAUGGUUAGGAUAAGGGGGUUCACGAGUGGUCUUACCCCCUCUCGUGGUCAGCGCAUUUACAUUUUCCAUAGAAUCAGGAUAAACAAUAGCUUUAGCGGCAGAAGCAAGCUGAGCUACUUUUAACUUGAUUUUCUUAUUAAAAGCCAGCUAAUCUCUAACAGAAAGGGCCAGGCCAUCAAGCUUUGUAUUUAUGUUCACAAACAUUUGAUCAUUUUUAGAAAGCUUUUUAACAAGAUUUUCAUUGAUUUUGGCCUGACCUAGCACAAGAUCUUUCAGCGAAGGCUGGGAGGAAUUAAAACUGGAGUAAUUACCUUGGGGGCGGUUCUGGUUGUUCCACCCAUUACCUUGCUGUUGUUGGCGGAACUCGUUGUUGAUGAAUGAUGCGUCCUCCAGGGUUCGAGGGCAAUUAAUCCCCAUGUGGCCAACAUUCCCACAUUCCUCACACGUCAUGCGUGAGUCGAUGGCUUGGACAGUGCCGAUGGCCUGUCCAUCUAAUCUCUUCAUUAGUAGGUCUAUUUUUGCGGCAAGCAGAUCCGUCUCCUUCAUGAUAUGUAUGCAUUUUUGUGUUUUGCAUCCCUCUCCCCAACUCUGGUUGGCUACCAUCUUCUUAAUUAAUGCCGUAGCAUUCUCAUUAGUCAGGGAGAGGAACGUGCCUCCAACAGCGGCAUCGACGUGCCCCUUAGACAUGGGCGUGAGCCCCUCGUAGAAAUUCUGAAGCACGAGCCAAUCUUCCAUCACAUGGUGGGGGCAGGCCCGGAUGUGUUCCUGGAACCUUUCCCAAGCCUCCGGAAUGGAUUCGAGUGAAGUCUGCUGGAAGUUUGAUAUCUUUCCCCUCAAAGCAUUUGUUUUGCUCAUGGGGAAAAAAUUCGCGAGGAACGCCACAGAACAUUUGUCCCACUUGUUGACAGCUUCCUUGCUCUGGUAGAACCAUUGCUUCACCUUCCCCGAGAGGGAGAAGGGAAACAAGCGGAGCUUGACGCUUUCAGGUGCAACAUCCUUGAUGAUGAUGGUUUUGCACAGCUCAAGGAAGUUCUGUAGAUGCGCGUUUGCGUCCUCACUUGGCAAACCACAGAACUGGUUUGCCUGCACCAUCGUGAGUAGGCCAGUGCAAAGCUUGAAGUUUCCAUUCCCAGUGUUGACUGCGGGCCCAACAGGCACGUUGGCAACAGCGGGGGUGGAAUAGUCGCGAGUGACCUGGCCAUGGUGGUUGAAACAGAUGGUGCGGGGGUGAUUGGUUUGACUGUAGGUGGCGUGGCAGAGGAAGAAACGGCACGAGUCCUUUUCUUCCUUAGGAGUGCCUCCAGAUUGCUGUUGAUGUUUGCCGGCAAGUUGAAACCGCUCAUACACUAUCCUGUUUUCAUUCCACUAAAAAGAGGAAGAAAAUAGCAAAGACUAGCCUGAUUAAACUAUGGCUACCAAUGCUUAUUUUGUAAUCAAUGCUAAAUGCCAAAGCUAGAUGUUUGCAUUGUUCUUUGCCCUCCUCGACAACGGCGCCAGAAAUGCUUGUUGGCAUUUCUUAGCGUCACUACUAAAGAUAGACUAUAAAUCCAUCAUUAGCAAUGGCACGAGAAAUGUCGGGUGUUGGUAUACCAUAACUAUCGUUACGUCAGAGAGAUAAGACAAGGCCUUUAAUAGCGCUGGCCUUAGUAGUGCAAUCUGGAAACAAUAAUUAGGAAUGCCGGAUUGGCCAUCCUAACCAUCCUUACUUACGAUAUGCAAAGCUAUAGCACGGCGCUAGAUAAAUGCACAGAGUUUACAAUCUUAAGUAACUGUACUUAGGUGCGCCAAUCAAUAGUUCAUGUAUAUAAAGAAUGAAACUGCAAGCGAACAGAACUAUCAUUGUAGCAUUUCAACCAGUGAGUAUUCAAGGGUUAUCAUAUUUAAUCCCGUAGGAGGGCGUAACAAAUGCAUCUAGCUUGGUUUGUAGCAUGAUCACUUAUUGAGAUGCAUAGGUAGACAUAGUCUAAUCAGGGGUCACGGCAGGCUCUUUAAAAUAUGGAUAGUGGACACACUCAUCAGGGCAACCUCAAGGAAUAAAGUGAAAAUAAGGAAAUAAAAGAAAUAAGGAACAACUACUUGAACCGGCAUUGAUCUUAUAUAACUAUGCAAAGAAUUGUUAGUAGAACAUCUAAUCAAUAUAACUAGAGUUGGAACUAUGUCUGAGGCUUUGGGGAGAUCCCCGCAGGUGGACAUCCAGCCGAUAGGGACUUUACAGAACUCCUACCGGAAUACCUCAUCGUGGGGGAAUACCAGGGAUGAUAGGGCUGUCACUACCCUACCACCUACCCCUCUACCCAAAAGAUACCCACGCAUCUGCUGAUCUCCGCAUACCCGAGCACCUCGCCUGUGUAUUGGAAAUGCCUCCUAACCUCUCGGGACCCCAACCCUUCGGAUUGACAGGCUUGGCUAAGAGUGGCCAUCACAGCCCAACGAACCGUUACCCUAAUCUUAAUCCUUUGUCUAUUCAUACUAAUUCGAUGAACGAUAAAGAACAAGGAUGAACACAUCAAGAACAUAGCGAAAGAACUAAGAACUAGUUCAUAUACUAUAAACAAGAUAUGAACACAACUAUACUCUAAUUCAAUUGCAUAAUCAUAUAAAUAAGAUAAGAACUUGCUCGUGGAGGACAACUAAAUUGUAUUCAUACCAAGAAGCCUUGUUCUAGGUGUUACUCUUGUUCCUACCGCUGACAAUUUCCUUCUGAGCAAGGAAUGAUAAUGUCCUAUUAUUGAAAGAAAAGGCUCCCCUAUUGCCCUUAAUGUUGAAAGUAAUCUUAGCAUUACUGGUGUAGAUAAUAGCUUCGGUAGUGUUCAAGAAUGGUCGUCCUAAAAAGAUAGGCGACCUCUCAUUAGUACUAGUGUUCACUACUAUAAAGUCUAUGGUAUAUAUGAGUUGCCUACUCGCACACAUAUCUCUUCUAAGAUUCCCAUGGGGUAGCAGAGUCACUGAUUUGCAAGCUGCAAAUACAUGGUUGUGUAUGAUAAAGGAUAAUUUAAAAGUUUUUCAUAUAUCACCUUAGGCAUGUUGCUGAUGCUUGCACUGAAGUCACAUAUUGCCUCGUCGAAGUUUGUACUUUGAAUGGAGAUUAGAAUAGCUGAUCUCCCUAGAACACCCUUCUUGGUUGGUAGAGACGAGUCAGUCCAUGCUCCUUUCAGAGGGUCACUCCAAUAGCUUCCUGCAUUAAAGAUGUCUAUGAGAUUUGUAGUUUUAAAUUCUCCUUGUUAUCCAGGAAUCUUACCUUGUGUUGAUGCAAAAGUGAAUCUACAAACACAAAGGGCUUAUACCCGAUUCAACGUUAAGGCGUGCCAGCCGAUUUGACCUUACAAUCAACAAAGGUGGUAACUCGAAUACUUUGGUCCCGACAACAGCGAUGCGCCCGGAUGCCAUGGCCGAGAGGUAUUCACACGGAACUCGAGAAUUCAUCGAGUAUGACUCAAUGAAUUCUUAAGAACUCGUAAGUAAAAGAAAAUAUGCGAGUUGACGAAGUCAUUGAAAAAGUAGAUGCGAAAGUAAAUGUAAAACUUGUGUGUAGUAUUGAUUGAUUGCUUUCUUACAUCACUACUAGGCCUAUAUUUAUACUCUAUCCUGAAGAGUUACAAACAGAUAUGACUAGGAUUUUAGUUCCAAACCAAACAAAACUCGUACAUAAAAUCAACUUUAACAAUUAUGGAAAGUAAUAAUCUAUCAAUUCUUGGUGAUCGGCACACCACCAUUGUCCCCCCCCCGACGACCCCCAUGUCUUCCUUCAUCAUCAUCGGCAUACUAUCCUUCAUCGGCAUCUUCAAUCAUCAAAAUCAGCCAUUGGCACCGAUCAGCAACCGUCUUCGGACUUAGCCAUAUCUUCCUCCUGCUGCCUUGUGAUCAGUAUCAUAGGCUAUCGGCAACCUCCUUAUCGGCCAGACACAUUACUUCUCUAACUGCCGAUACAAACUUCAUUGACUAUCCCAAUUCGUGUCCAAAAACGGUUUCAACACAUACCCCCCAAUUUCGGAGUAUAAAAUCAUUAAUGCUCCAAAAUUCUGUCGUAAUAAUGAUGACCUUUUCACCAUUAUUUCAUUCUGACAGCAAUUAGUUACUAAAUCCAAACAACCUUAAUUUGGAUCUCCAGCAAAUACCUCGAAUCUCUCAACUACUCGAACCAAAUCUCAUGGAAAUACGCUCAUCGGCAACUAUUUGUUAGGUUGGACUGCCGAUGUGCCGACCAAAAGAUCGUGUACAGUGAAAUAUCUCCUAAAAUCAUGAUUACUUGCUGUCAAAUCACCUGUACAAUCCCUUGAUUAUCAUGCGAACAGUUACCAUAUCCUCCUGAACACCUCGAAUUUCACGGAUAUGACAAUGAGAUAAGUCAAAAAUACCCCUACUCACUUCAAGCUAUAAAUGCUUCCUUCCUCAGCACUCUUUCCCCACCUUGCCAUUCUCCAUUCCUAGAUUCAUGUUCUGGCGGCGGCAUUGAUGAAGAACUCAAGAGCUCAGGCAACAAAGAACCUCCCCUAGAACCUCCAAGUCUUCGACUCCUUCUUCGGGAAGAAAUGGCCGUCAACUUCACCGUUGCUGAGGUUAAUUCGUUCCCAUUCCUUUACUGUAAUUAUUUACCUUUUGCAAGUCUACUUACUUAGCAUUUUCCUUUCCUUUUCCUUUUGUUCUUCCAAUCUUCAAAUUUUAGGAGUUGAGCGAGAAAAUUUUCAUUCCUACUGAACAACCCCACCUUCAAUGCCUCGGUCCAAUGGGUGAUCCAGAUCCCACCGAUCUGAUCAAUGCAGAAACCAAUAGGAUUCCUUUUAUAGCCGAUCUAUGGAAGGACACUUUCCGAUCCUGGCCGAACCCCACCAAAGGAUGGAAAUAUUAGUUUUUGAGGGUUAGCAAAACUAAUGAAGUAUAUUUGGGUGAACGCAAAAUAGACUAGUGAAUCAGGCUUUCCAUUGCCGAUAUGGAAAGAAAUGAGUCAAUGCUGAUAGCUGCCUCAUACUUCUGGUCAGAUACUUUUAAUGCUUUUAUUUUUAGCCACAGCCCAGCUUCCCCUACGCUUGUUGAUGUUGUCAUGCUCACUGGUUUGGACGUUGCAACUGCUGAUGAUGGCGAGUUAUUCAGCCGCAAGGCCGAACAUAAAGUAGAAAUCCGCAACAUCGGUGGCUGGUCAGGGUAUAUUCAGAAAUAUCAAUGAACGGGAUCGGUUGGUCAGAGAGAACAUGCCACUUCUCUAAAUAUGUGGUUAGACAAAUUCAUCUUCUGCGGCCGAUCGGUAGGACCAACCUCUGUUUACUUAUCGGCAGCAGAAAGGUUAGCCGAUGGUAACCGAUUCCCCCUUGGCCGAUACUGCUGGGCUCUGUCUAUCAUCUCCUCCAUCAAGUAUCCGAGAAACUCCUAUUAGGUGAACCCAUCGGCAAUCUAGGAGGCCCUUGGUGGUUUAUCAACAUGUGGCUCAAUGUCCACAUGCACAAACGCCUUCGGUUUGACUUCUUCGCACAGCAGUUCCCACAAGACAUCACCGAGGAUUAUGAACUAGCAGAUGAUGAAUCGGCAACACACUCACCCCUCAACUAUGGUGAAGCUGUUAUAGUCCUUCCUGGUACUGGCUCCAAUGAGAACCAGAUCGGCUGAUUCUUCCAGACUUUGUAUGAUGGCCUCUCCAAAGAUCAGCGAGCAUGGAUGCCCUAUGAAGACCCAGAGACCAGAUUUCUGCUCACUUUCCACCCCUUUGAUAAUGCUCUUAAUAAAGACAAUGAUCUGAUGAUGGCAAUUAUCACCCCAAGGGCAAUCCCAGUAAACAGCUUUGGCAGCGGGAAGAACAUUAACACCACCUACGAGUUCUACAACCCAUUGGCACUAGCUCGCCAACUGGCUUUUGGUCAGCUACCGAUCAGACUCUGUUAUGCCGAUGUUGUAAAACCGAGUGAGAGCAACUAUUUUGCUGAUGCCAUACUCCUCUUUGUCAAAACCCUGCCUUUGACAAAUAGAGCCUUAAGAUGCUAUCUUUCAUCAUCAGAAGGCUUCUCAUAAAUAGCUGUCAUUGGAUCUAGUGCCAACUGGGCUAUCUGGCUAGGGAGACUUGUCUCUUCAACAUCACUAAGGGGUGCAAGAAAUUCCAUUGGCAACAUAAAGACCAUGUUAACAUCUGCCGAUGGUCCCCCUCUUUUGGGAUCCGAUUGCUACCGAUUCUCAGACCUAGAAGAACUUUCUUCCCUAUUCAACUCUUCCUGACGGUCUCGCUGCAUCCUCCUUUUCUGCGUCCUUGUUAACCCUUGCGGGCACCAUUGGGAAGCUUUGUUCUCCAUGCUGGUUGAUAGUGAACUUCCCUUGAUUCCACCCGACGAGUGUUAGCAUCUCUGCAAAAUAUAAAUUCAUCGGGAACCCGUGCAUUUGCCAUCCCUUCAAGCUCCUCUUGGUUCCUUGGAAAAUGACCAACAUGUUCGACAAGCUUGUCAUGCACACUAAGCCUGCCCCCCAACCGAUCAUGAACUGACAUCCUCCCCCUGAUCGUCCCAUUAAAGCGUCGAUCAUCGUUUUGGAAUCGUCGAUCUGACCGAUCAUACUGAUUAUAACCAUUGCACUCAGGGCAGUCUCUGAUAGUCGGUAGCUUGAUAUUUUGCUCCCAAUAGUGAAUGAAGAACAAGCAAUUCUAGUGAUCUUUAUGCCAAUUUCACUCUUGUCGGCGCCUUUCUUCUUCGCGGUGUCGAUCCUCCUGCUGUCAGCGAUAUCGAUCUUCAUGUUGUUGCCAAGUCUCCUGAUGCCGCCUAUGAAUAAUCACAAUGCCAUAGCGGGGGGUGUCUAGAGCUACUGCCCUCCCUUAUCAAGCCCUUGCCCUUGGCGUCAUUGGUAGUUACCUGAUGCUGGGGAUCCACCAAUGCGUUUCUCUCAGCUGCUUCUCAUGUCAAUAUUGACGGUCCUUAAGUACCAAAUAUAAUCAUCAAAUAAAUAAAGAAAAGGAUCCAAAUGCAACCAACACCCAGACUUAGGGUUUUAUCUAACAGAAUUCCACAAGUUUUGGUGUUUGUCUAUUUUUGCAGGGGGUUAUCACGAAAUAUGGAGAAAAGGCCCACAUGUCGGGUUUACAUAGAGAUAUUAACAUGCCGCGCAAUUUUCUAUCAUCUGGAAGACUCCAGAAGCCAUAGGAACGAACGGGAGGCCGAGCGGGCCCGGGGACAGGGUGCCCACCCUCACCCCUUGGGUGCCCGCCUAGGUGUCUCGGCCAAUCAGGCCCCGCCAUGCGGAUUAUGCUACACUGACCUAAAGGAUUAACGAAAACCGUGCGAUUAAGGUCAGUUUGAUCCGACGGCCCAUGUUCAUUUCGAGGGGCUAUAUAAGCAGGCCCCCUGGCCCUUGGAGGAGAGCAAUCCCAUUAUUCAUUAGCAUAUUUUCCAGAGAGGAUUCAAAGAGAGAGGUCCCUCUAGGGUUCCAACCUCAUAGGGCUUAGAAUCCAAUGUGAGAUUAGAAUUAGUUCUUCUAGAUUGAGAGAGAUAGAGUGGAGGUGUAGAUCGGAGGAAGCCCAGCCUAUCGGUGUCUACUCCGAGGUUGUACCUACGGGAUCAAGUCUCCUAACCUGAGGCUUGCUCCUUUAAUCUCUUCUAGUAGAGUUUAGAGUAAUCAUUGCUAGCGUAAACGUGGUGUUUAGGCUAGGGUACUCAUAGAUAUCCCCUGUCUAGCCGGACCGGGGUAGUAGCAAGGAACGUGACAUUUCUGUAGCUACCUUUGUAGCCCACAAUCCCGUUAGCAGGUUCGGUAGGGUUUAUAGGUGCGGGUCGAACAUCCUUUGUGGUGACUAGAUUCCGUAAGCCUCCCCAAUAGAACAGUAGAUCAUCCUUACCAAGGUUAGAAUGAGAGUGCGGAUGUAGUCUUCUCUAUACAUCGCUCACAUCGAAUCACAUUGUUUGUAGCCUAAAGGGUAGUAGCAAUAGAUUUGGUUAGUCAGACGCACGCUUUUCUCCCAGUGGUAAAAAUAUAAAUACGAUACUCUGGAUAACCUCCCGGUUGAUGUGCUCACCGAUAUCCGUGCGCUUGCGGAUCAUUUCCUGAUGGCGUUAACAAAUAUGAACAAGCAUUUCUGGCGCCGUUGCUGGGGAGGAAGACGGUUUGCUGAGAUAACUUUGAGUCUUGCUAUUAUCUUGUAUUAUACUUUUAUACUUUUAUUAUUUUAUCUUUUUAUUUUUUCCAUCUUUAUGGAUAACUCAAAUUCCACACCUAUUAUUGAAUUUUUUGCACCUUCGGAGACCAGCCAUAGACCAUGGGAGUCAACAAGUCCUUUCUUUGCCCCUAAUUAUGAUCUGUGUCCGAAGUUGAUUGCAAUAGGUCAAAACCAACCCUUUUCUAUAGCCGAGGUCCUAUCUUUUAAUCAAGAAGAUAAUGAACUUUUAGCUACACCUAGGAAAUUUUUAAUCUUUGUAUAAAUUAUGGUUUAGACCUAGCCCUAGAAGACCAUGUUUUUCCUCGAUAUUUUCACAUUGGUCUUAAUCAUAUAACCUUUGGUAGAGUUUUUCUUUCUUUGUCUGUUAGUAAAGCAAGGUAUGUCUUCAUUCGUGGACAUCCUUCUUGCACUAGUCUUCAUAAAAAAAUACUAGAGAUAGAGAAGGAAUUAUCUCCUAGACAAGAAAAGGAAGUUUCAAUAGCCAAUUUCGAAACAUUUCAAUCCCAUGAUUCGGCUAUCCAACCCAAACUAGGAGUGCUCCAAAAUCAUCUAAGGGAAGAAGAAAUUCUACCUUUGGAAAUUCAUUUUGGGAUGAGCUUAAACUUCCUGCUUCACAAGAGACCUUUGAGUGCAUAUAGUCUGAACCUUCCUAAGAAGGGAUCUCUUAGAAAGCAUCUCAAAUCCAAUCCUUUUGAUGGACAUCUAGAAAGACUCAAGGAUGGCAUCUUAAGUGAUGCAAUAGAAGGAGAGUGAAGCCAUUUAGAAGACAAUCUCAUCUUCUCCCGUUCUACGCCCACUUUUGAUGACUCAUUCGAACCUAUCUUUAAACCCAUCCUUGAGCCUAAUAAUUUCUACUAUGCUCUUUCUCUUGAACCUCCCGAUGAUCCUAUGAAUCUCUCUAGACAUCCCAUGCAUAAGAGUCACCAAGACCACAAGGAGGAUCGAGAAGAGCAACAUCAAUGGCUAGAGGGCAUUAAAGAUCCAUGUGCUAUCACCAUUGAAUGGACGGAUAAAACAAACUUGAGAGACAAUCCUAGAUGGAUUUUAUGCAUUCAUGAAGAAUCAUCCUUGGAGUUUGAGAAUGAGAGAAACAACAGUGAGCAUGGGAGUUAUUUCAUAAAUACCUCACCAAGUCCUUGCUCAUAUAAAACAUCUCCCCAGUCAAUUGGUCUCUCCAACCUUACCACAUUUGAGAUCUCCAACCUCCUCCUCCUUUCUAUUUAUAAAAACUUUAAAGGGGUGGUUAUCGAUGCAUAUGUCUAUAAUAAAUAUUACAGAUAUCGUUGAGUCGAUCUUGAUAUAGGCACGCUUAGGUUGGUGUUGGAGAGGAAACCACUUCACCAACAUAAUUUGAUGGUUUCCCAAGGACAAGCUUAGUGUCCUAAAUCAAGCACUUAUCAGAUCAUAACAUGAACUUUUAAUUAUUUGCAACAUUGCCUUGUGUAUUGAGCAUAUAAAAAUAAUUGUAGAAAUAUUCCUUUGGGUAUUCGUGUCUCUAACCUUUCUAGGAUUGGAGCAAGAAGAUCCGAGGAAUGACAAGCGCAAGGUAUGGCCAACCAAUCAUCAUGCAACAUUGAAUUAAAUUCAUCCAAUCUUGAAUAUUGCAAAAUUCAAGCUUGGGGGAAAUACCUUACAUAAGAACAUCCUUUACCAUGUUGCUAUGUUGGUUGUCCCUACUUUUGAGGCAUGCUCAAUUUUUCUAAACACUAAACUUAUUUUUCAUCUCCACCUGAGUAGAUCUCUAUAAAUGUUGUCAUGCUACCAUUGUCUAUUCACAAUCAAGUGUUGGUUUGGAAGUACUCGACAUACUUCCAUUGGCAUUUAAAUUAAGUGUGGCGCUUAGGUUAAGUAGCCUUCCUUAAUCUGAUUAGACAUGGAGUCUAGUUUGGUUACUGAACUAAAAACUGCUUGAGUAGACAUUGGUAUAUUUUGCCAGACUAACCCCUGCAGGAAAACUUUCAAUAUCAACCUAGGAAGUCCUGAGAUACAAACUCACAUUGGAGACAAAGGAGACACAUGAAGGUUAAUGAUUUGCACAAGGAAGACAUAGCUCAUUCAUCAUAGAGAGAUGAUCCAUGGAACAAGACAAAGAGUGCCACAAACACGGUGCACAACCGCUAAGAAAGGAAAGCAUCCACAAGGUGAUACUGUACCAUCACUCUUGAAGUAAGGUAACAUCUUAAGGUACUUGACUAUCACUUUUAUAAGCUUCUCCUUGGUUCUGGCGUUCACAUGAAUAAAGAGACAAACAAAAAUUAACCAACCCAAUUAAGUCAACAUGUUUAGUCCUUUAAUCUUUGUUCUUAGUACUACCUUCAUGAUCCCACACUCCUAAUCAUAUAAGCUAAAAUGUUGCACAUUCACUCUUUGGAAGAUAUAAAAAAACAUAAAUAUAGAUAUAUUAUCUUUCCAUUAGCUCGAGCGAUCUGAUCUGACAAAUAUUUUAAAUGCUACACUCAUGAUCUUAUUAUCCAUCAACUUUGUCUUGCUCACUAUGCUUAAGGUUAGAGAAGAACAAAUACACUUUUGGUUCUAUUGGUGUUUUUCACCAACAGGGCCCAUGCACUUGAUCUCUGCCUUGUCUCUAUGAGCAGGUACACUUCGAGCGAAACCUGAAGGAGUUUUACAACUCCGAGAUUCCACCAAGUGAAGAACUUGAAUCUACGAGCACAAACACACUGAGCAGGAUGCUGCCAAUGCCACACCUCGAACUGCUGGACAAACGAAGAACAUGGGUGACACCGUAUCAAGAGAUGUAGAUGUCAAGGCCCACACCUAAUCAAAUGAUGCACCUAAAGGAUGAACACGGUGAGAAGUCUUGUCCACAAGACUUAAAACAUUGGAUUCUUGCCGGAAGGUAAAAUCAGUAUUUAUCCAUAUUUAUCUUUUCUGCAUUCCUUUUCCUUUUUAUUUCAUCACUUGCAUUAGCAUAUUUACUUUUCCACAUUAGCAUUAGAAAAGAGAACAAAAAUAUUUGUUCGUUGCACUGCAUCAUAAAAUCUAAAGCCCCAUGUGAGUAGACUUGUGGUUUAGAACCCAUAGGUAUAUUGACUGUGGUGGCAUAAAAUAAAUUUUCAUCUUAAAAUAAAAAUAUAAAAAUAAUAAGUGCAAGAUCCUGCUAAAUAAAUAAAAUUUAUUAGGAGGAAUCUCAAUAUGAUAAAGGCUAAGAGAUUUUAUGCUAACACUUAACCAGUUCCACAAAGCUUUGUUGUCUAUUUGAGCUCCAUAGAAUUCAAGAAUCAAAGAAGACUAGCCGGUGGAGGACAUAGUAAUCACUGUCAGGGUGCUGCCGAUAUUCAAAUACACCUCCGUCACCUGCUAGCUACAUCAGAAGAAAGUAUGUCAAAAUCCAGCUUGGGGGAGAGCACCCCCAUUUAUCCAGCUAAGUGUUUCUACUCGCGUUUUACUCAAAUAAUAAAAAGAUGCAUAAUCAUGAAAACCCAAACAAAAAUUUUUGUGCUUAUAUAUAUUUUUGCUUAGUUUGCUAAAUAAAUAAAUAAAGUGUCUAGGGCAAACUGAACUUAAAUGAUAAACUCUUACAUGGAUAUGAUAAAUAGUUGCUCUACCAUGCACCUAGUUUUCAUGUUUGAGCUCUUUCUCAAGUUUAGGCAUAACUGUUAUAAUUUGAACCUGCUCUAAAUCUGAACUUGUGGGAAGAGUACUUGAUCUAGAGUCUAAGUCGUUAACGGAAAUGAUAUAGAAAGGUUGAGCUGUUGUUUAUCUAUUCCUAGAGUUGCUAGAAUUCUAGAGAAUUUUAUCUUUGAAAAUCUUCAAAAUGUUGCAUGAUGAGUUCCUGUAUGAUGAGAGUUUAAAAUCCUACCACAGCCAUAUAUACAUGCUUAUUAGAUUAUGAACCAUAUAUUUACUUUUUACUGCUUAUGAGCAUUGAGUGUGGUCAAGCUGUGUAGACCCUUAUGAGCUGGUCAUGCGGUUAAAAUCAAGAUUCACUUGCACGUUCACUCAUACAUGCUACUUCUACUCUGGAAGUACGCAUCCACAUACAACCACUCAAUUCCAUCUCCAGAUUCACCCAAAAUUAUUCUACUCCUAUCCGGGAGACAAUAGCCAACAACUUUUUCCUAUCCCUGUUAUUCCCUGUGAAAUAAAUGCUCGAGAUAUUUUGGUUACUACCACUUGCUACAUUAUUCUAGGAGGGUUAGUGCUCUGAAAAAAAGGGAAAACUAUGAGGAAAUAAAAAGGGGCAAGUGCCCGGAACCUCGAAGAAAAGAAAAAGUGAGACAAGAGGUAAAAAUGGACAAGUGUGAAUUAGGGGUACAGGAUACCCACCUGAGAGAAAAGAAAAAAAAUAUAGAGCAUCUCAUUCUCCUCAAAAAAAUGUCUUCAAAGUGCAAGAAAGGUAUGUAUCUACUAAAAAGAGCAAAAGUAGAAUUAGACUUUCACCAUUGUUGUCACCAUCAUCACCAUACACCAUUCACUCGCCACACAUGCACAUCUUGAUUUGACUUAUUGACUUGUUCUUUUGGAUCCAUGGUUUGACUAUGUAAUAAAUGUCUUGUAAGUAUGUAUUAUCUGUCUCCCACCUAUGAGCUCCAGAUAUCAAAACCUUAAUAGAGUAGGGUGAUAGAGAAGGCAAUAUCACUAUGCCUCAUACCAAAAAUACCACAUACUUUGAGAGAAGGCAUUGUUGAUAUUUGGUAACACAAUCAGGAAAAUGAUCCGCAAGCGCAUGGAUAUCGGUGAGCACUUCACCCAGGAUGUUAUCCAGAGUAUCGUAUUUAUAUUUUUACCACUAGGAGAAAUAGUGCAUCUGACUAACCCGGUCUAUUACUACUAACCUUUAGGCUACAAAGAAUGUGACUAGAUGUGAGUGAUGUAUAGAGAAGACUACAACCAUAAUCUCGUUCUAACCUUGGUAAGGAUGAUCUACUGUUCUAUUGGGGAAGCUCACGACAUCUAGACACCACAGAGGAUGUUCGACCCGCACCUAUAAACCCUAUCGAUCCUACUAACGGGAUAUGGGCUGCAAAGGUAACUCAGAAAUGUCACGUUCCUCGCUACUACCAUGGUCCAGCUAGUCAGGGGAUAUCUAUGAGUAUCCUAGACCAAACACCACAUUUACGCUAGAGAUGAUUACUCUAAACUCUACACGAAAAGACCAAAGUAAACUCAUAAACCAAAGAACAAUAAAACAAGAACUUACUAGAAUUUAGAAGUCGAAAUACUGAAAAAUCCUAAGAGCAAGCCUCAGGUUAGAAGACUUGACCCCGCAGGUACAACCUCGGAGUAGACACCGACGGGCCGGGCUUCCUCCGAUCUAUACCUCUACUCUAUCUUUCUCAAUCUAGUAGAACUAGUCUACUCUCACAUUGGAUGCUAAGCCCUAAGUCUAUGUAGAGGAAAGGUUAUCCUUCGAGGGCACCUCUCAACUCUAUGAUGAACAUGUUCUCCUCCAAGGUCCAGGGGGUCUGCUUAUAUAGUCCCCUCAGGUGAUAAUUGAUUGAACGUUUAUCCUUGAUCCUUUAGGUCGGUGGAGCAUGAUCCGCGAGAUUCACCAUGAUUGGUGGAACCACCAGGGCAGGCGCCCUAGGGGGGAGGGCGGGCGCCCUGCCCCCGGACCCGAUCGCAUUCCCGUUCGUUCCCGUGGCUUCUGGAGUCUUCUAGAUGGUAGAAAAUUACGCGGCACGUUAAUAUCUCUAUGUAAACCCGACAUGUGGGCCUUUCUUCCUUAUUUCGUGAUAACCCCCUGCAGAAACAGAUAAACAACAAAACUCGUGGAAUUCUGUCAGAUCAAUCCCUAAUUCUAGGUGUUGUUUGUAUAUUAGUCCUUUCCCUUGUUUAUUUGAUAAUUAAAAUUGAUACUUAAGAACCGUCAACAAACAUCCCCCAUACUUAGGCUUUUACUCGUCCUCGAGAAAAGGAUGGUUAAAAAAUAUAUGGGGUUAAAACAUUGUAAAACAUUUUCUUCAUACCUGCAGGGUGUUGUAAAAAUCCACUGUGUAUGGUAGUUAGGGAAAUAUAUGGUCAAGAGUAGAGGUCCUUUCUUCUCAAUCCUAUUGCUUGGAGUUUUUGUAUAUAUUUUUGAAAAGAAAUUUAGCAUACCUUUAUCCUCAUAGGUUCUCAGGUCACUCAUUAUCUUUUAUAUAUCUCACCGAGGCUGUUUUAAUUUGUAGAAAUCCUUGAUCAUACUUACCUGGUAUUUAUUGCCUGAUCAAAACGGGAUCCGAGGAGAAGAAUGUCAUACUCUUAGAUCAAAGACUUUGAAAAUUAAAAACUUGUCAACUCUUACUAGCAUAUUGCUUAUUAGAGGGACCAUGGGCUAUCAUUUUCUUCUUUCUCUCUCUUUUUUUUCAGGUGGAUACCGAGGUACCCCUAAUUCUACUGCCGAACACUUGUCCAUUUUUUCUGUGAGGUUGUCGAGCACUUGCUCCUUUUUAUUUCCUCAAAAUAUUCAUAUUUUUGCAUAGCCCAUGCCUCUAAUGCAAUAAUACUUCGGAAGAGUGAAUCUUUCUGAGUAAAUGUCUUGAUCUUAGGAGCAUGAUAAAUCUCUCAACAAGGGUCUAACUCAUUUUGAACAAACUCAAUACAGAGUAGAUAGCUUUUAUAAUUAUCAUAUUAAUAUUUUCAGGUUUAUCAGGCAUAUAAAACACUGAGGAUGGUAGCUAGAAUUUUUGAAGAUUUUAAAAUAAAUUCUCCAAGCAACAUUGAUAUCAAGAAUAAGGUACUCAUACUCUACCAUCUUACAUUCCACAGUGACUUAAGUAACAUAGGGUUUUUAAAUGAUUUCUAAUAAUUGCAAUUUUUUCAGGAAAUAUCACAAAGUGAGAUUAAUCAUGAUUAGAAACAUUUUAAUCUUUUUAAUUUAUCAUGACGGAGACAAUAUUCUGCAUGAACCAAGAUAUAUGUGUAUGUGCAAAGUGUGCAGAGUAUGUACCUGAAUCGUGGAGUGGUGUAGUCGAAGUGUGUUUGGCAUGUCGAGGGGUCUCCCCAUACUUGUUUUUUGCUUUAUUGCAUAAUAAAGUAGAGACACACAAGACAUAAUAAUAAUAAUAAUCUUUAUUAAUCUUGAGGCAUUUAUUACAAAUGACUAGUAAUGAACUGAAGCUAAUAAUAGAUCUAAAUCGAAUUUAAAGAUAAAUAACUAAGAUGCAUUGCCUCAAGAUCUAAUUUAGGUAGCUUAGCGGCGCUCUAACUCCCUGAUCUUCUUAUUGGCACUAGCAAGAUCAUGCCUAAGACCUAGUAUAGCGGUGUUCUGGUUAGAGAGCUGCCUAGUGAUAGAGUUAACCAAGGACUGGAGCUCUAUGAUGACCCUGUCUAGCCUACGAACGUCCUCAUCAAUAUCUACUAUAGUCUUGUGACGCUUAGGAGGUGUCUCAAAAGCAUUGAGAGCGUGCUUCGGGGCUGCCUUUGGAGGGAUGAAACGGACUUUGGCUGCUCUAAUCCCCUCAAUGUAAGGCCUCUCCUCCUCCGUAGUGUAGCGGAUGCUGCUGAUCUCGCCGCUCUAGUUGGUCUUGACUCCAACGACCCUCUCAUUGGGUGUGGGUGGCAGGAUCCUUGUGCCGGCUGGCACCUUGACGGUGGCCUCCUUCUUAGCUGAUGGUCCUUUGAGAAGUAGGGGCUGCGGUGGUGCGGUGAGAACUCGUUGAGCAUGGUAGGAUUGGGCGGAGCUACGCUGGCGUAAUGGCAUGGCUUCUAGCCGUCGCUCUGUGUUGGCCGGGACGAGAGCGUGGGCGUCGGGGUCUUCCUUGGGCUUCUUGUUGAGGUCGUAGGGGACGACUUCCCAAUCGUUGUGGAACUCUUCGGCCAUUAGAGCAGCGAGGGACUAAACAAGCUCUAAUUAAAGAAGGAGAGAAGGCUUGAAUAGAUUGGUGUUUGAAAACUGACGUCAGGGGUCUGUUUAUAUAGGGGUCAAAAAGUGCCUCUAGGGUUUGCUCGGGCUACUCUCGCCGCCGUGCGUGCAAAACUUUCCAUCUGUAUGAUUAUUUAGUUUACCAAAAAUGUGUUUAUCGCGACGGAGGAAAUCGGGACUGAGAGGGGACAGGGGCUGGGCGCCCGCCCUCUUCAUCAGGGCGCCCGUGCUGUGCCUGGCCCCUCUGUGGGCCCGCUUCCUCGAGCGUGCUUCUAGAUGCAAACUUUAUUCGGAAAAUAUAUAUGUGGCCCAAAAACGUCAGAUUAAAAAGGUUGGGCUCUAAUUCUCCAUGGGAAGGUAGAAAUGGAUUACGUCUAUUUCUUCUAAUUCUUUAUUGGGUUCUAAAAAUAAUUUAAGACGUUGACCAUUUACCUUGAAUAACGUACCUUCAUCAUUUUGAAGUGUGAUAGCUCCGUGAGAUGAUGAAUUGAUUACCUUGAAUGGUCCUUCCCAUUUACUCCGGAGUUUUCCAUGCCCGAAAAGCUUCACCCUGGAAUUAAAAAGUAAUACCUUAUCUCCGGGUGCGAACUCCUUCUUGAUCCUCUUGUCAUGCCACCUUUUGACUCUUUCUUUAUAGAUCUUCGAAUUGUGAUACGCUUUCUCUUGCCAUUCUUCCAAUUCUGAUAGUUGCAUUCUUCUAUGACCUCCAGCGACAUCUAGGUCCAUAUUCCAUCUCCUUAUGGCCCAGUGUGCUUUGAAUUCUAGUUCAACAGGUAGGUGGCAAGUCUUCCCGUACACCAGUUGGUAUGGGGACAUUCCAAUUGGGGUCUUGUAUGCUGUCCGGUAUGCCCAGAGUGCAUCGGGUAACUUGUCUUUCCAUGCCGUUCCCAUCUCAUUGACUAUUUUCUGAAGAAUAUUCUUGAUUUGCUUGUUGGAAGUCUCUACUUGGCCACUUGUCUGAGGAUGGUAGGGGGUAGCGACAUUGUGACGGAUGCCAUGUUUUGAUAGAUAGUGUUUGAAGCGUUUGUCGAUGAAUUGUGCUCCUCCAUCACUUAUCACUACUCUGGGGACUCUAAAUCUUGGAAAUAUAAUUUCUUCAAACAUCCUCUUUGAUCUGAUGUUGUCGGCAUGCUUGCAAGGUAGUGCAUCUACCCACUUGGAGACGUAGUCAACUACCACCAAGAUGAACUCACACUUCUUUGAUGGGGGAAAUGGACCCAUGUAAUCUAUUCCACAGACAUCAAAGAGCUCAAGCUGUAGGUUGUUGGUGAGUGGCAUGGCAUCCCUUGUGUUUAUGUUUCCGUGCCUUUGACAUGGCCCACAUCUUCUGAUAUAUUGCUUCAUGUCUUCAUACAUUGUAGGCCAGUAGAAUCCACACCGCCUGAUCUUUGAAUGUGUACGGAAUGCUCCAUAAUGACCUCCAUAUGGUGAUGAAUGACAUCUAUCGAUGAUCUUCCAUCCUUCCUCAGUGGUCACACAUCUCCUAAGUAAGCCAUCAGAGCAUACUCGGAAGAGGUAUGGCUCAUCCCAUAUAUGUGAACGACUUUCGUGAAUAAGCUUCUUCUUGUUUGCUCCUAGUGGUACAUACCCUGAAACCAUAAAAUUAACAAUAUCUGCAUACCAGGGGUCAGACUUGUUAAUCCCGUAAAGCAUUGUUGGGCAUUCUUAACGUCACUACCAAAAGUAGACUUAGUUUUCUAAUUCUGAUAACGGCGCCAAAAAUGCCAAACCUAUCCCUUAUGCCACUUAAGCCAAGUUGUCAUCCCCAGCAUGACAUAAGAGAUGCGGUAUUGAAAUAUACAAUUGCUCUUCUAAAUAAAUAAUCAAAUGGGAUCUGCAAGCGCACAGAUUAAUACCGAUGUAGCAUAUUAACCGGGAAGUAUUCCAGGUAUCAUUAUUUAUAUUUUUACCACUGGGAAGGGAUUAGUAAUCAUCAAUGUUGAUUAUAGAAUGGAAUAUAGAAUUGAAUAUCUAUCAUUGCAUGUAUAAUUGAGAACAUUUAUCUAACUCUUUCAUACAGGGAUAAGUGUCACAUAAAGGAUAUAUAAAGUAAUAAAUAGUGACAAAGAUAAUUAAUCUGAUCAGCAUAACUUAGCCACAUAUAAAUAUGAUAAGCACCUCAAUUAGAUAUUCUAGCAAGUCAUUAGCAUGGAAUAAGUACGAACUACACGAAUAUUUCCUAAGUUAUUCUUAACUAUACAGUCUAGCAUAUCAUAGUUAGUGCAAUUAUACAUUGCAAUCAUUGCGAGACAAGAUUACGCCCAUGCAUAGUGAUAUUAUCAAGGAAUAUGAGAAACAUCGCAAUCACUCCCCUGUAAUAAUGUUGCUCUGCCAGCCCAAUACAUGAGAGAGGGACUAUAUAAGAAUCAAUAGAGCUGUCACUACCACGAACAACCCCGUGAUCUGGCAUAUAGGGUACAAUCACAGAUAAAUAUGGUAUAAGCACCACGUCUACACAAUAUCUAUCAUUUACCGGUGGAUUCGAUGGAUAAACCCUAUACGAUCCUAAACAUGUAUAUAAUUCCAAUCUAACUAAGCCAAGUAUAUAACUAUGAUAAACUAAGAACAAUAUAAUUGCGAAUAUAAACAAGUAGAGCAAAGUCAUAAUCAAUAUAUUGAAGUAGAACAAAGUCAUAUUCUUAAUAUCAAAGAACAAAGAUGAACAAUUGAAGAACAAUAGAGAAUUACCAAGAAUCCUCUUGACAGAUCCGGAAACCAAUCGAAGAUUGACUCCUUCUAGUUCUAAUCCUAUGUAGCUAUGCUAAUCAAGAGAUCUAAUUGAUGUGGUGGCUCUAGGGCUUUAUCAGAGGCUUCUUCUCCCUGAUGAAUAAUGAAUUAGGGUUGAGAGGUGCCCUCCUCCAGGGGCCAGGGGGUCUGCUUAUAUAGUCCCUCCAAGUGAAUAUGGGCCGUCGGAUCAAACCGACGUUGAUUGAACGGUUAUCCUUGAUCCUUUAGGUCGGUGGACCGUAAUCCCCGAAACGAGUCGUGAUUGGACUCUAGGACAGGGCGGGCGCCCUAGGGGGGAGGGCGGGCACCCUGCCCCCGGGCACGAUCGCCUUCCCGUUCGUUCCCGUGGCUUCUGGACUCUUCUAUAUGUAAGAUAAUUGCGCGGCACGUUAAUAUCUCUAUGUAAUCCCGACGUGUGGGCCUUUCUUCCAUAUUUUCCGAUAACCCCCUGUAGAAAUAGACAAACACCAAAACUCGUGGAAUUCUGUCAGAUAAAACCCUAAGUCUAGAUGUUGAUUUCAUUUGGAUCCUUUUCUUUGUUUAUUUGAUAAUUAAAUUUGAUACUUAAGGACCGUCAACAAACUCCCCCAAGCUUGCCUCUUGCUCGUCCCUGAGCAAGGAUAAUCUCAGUGAUAGAUCAGAAGUUGCUGCAAUACCUUUAAAAGUUGACGGUACACAUGGUUUCAAAUAAGGUCUCAUCUGUGAGUUAGAGUAAACUGUCAAGACUUAAAACUUAUUCAUCUUACCUUUCACCAUUGGACUUGUAACCAUCACUUCUGUCUUGAGCAGUUAAAAGAUAGAACGGUCUAGUCAAGCGCCAUGUCUCUUAUUCUUGAUCAGCUAUAGCUCUGGAGUUUUUGCAGAUUUUCAAAUAAAACUCAGAGAUUCCUUGUAUGACUCUCUCAGAUCUCUCUUUUGUAGUAUUUCUGGAUCGUUACCAAGGCAGUGAUGGUAUAUGCCUUCUCUCAGAAUAUGUAGUAUUUGUGGUAUAAGGCAUAGUGACAUUGCCUUCUCUCUCACCCUACUCUAAUAAGGCUUUAAUAUCUGGAGCUCAUAGGUGUGAGAUAAAGUAUACAUACUUACAAGACAUUUAUUGCAUAGUCAAACCAUGGAUCCAAAGAAACAAGCCAAUCAGUCAAAUCAAGAUGUGUAUGUGUGGUGAAUGAAUUGUAUAUGGUGAUGAUGGUGAUAACAAUGGUGAAAGUCUAAUUCUACUUUUGCUCUUUUGAGGGGAUACAUAUCUUUCUUGCUCUUUUGAAACUUUUUGAGGAGAAUGAGAUGCUCUAUAUUUUAUUUUUCUUUCCUCUCAGGUGGGUAUCUUGUACCCCUAAUUCUACUGUCAGACACUUGUCUAUUUUUACCUCUCGUCUCACUUUUUCUUUUCUUUCGAGGUUCCGGGCACUUGCCCCUUUUUAUUUCCUCGUAGUUUUUCUCUUUUUUUAGAGCACUCAUCUCUUGAAAUAAUAUAGCAAGUGGUAGUAACCAAGAUAACUUGAGCAUUUAUUUCACAGGGGAAAAACAGAAAUGGGAUAAUGUUUUUGGCUAUCCUCUCCCGGAUUAGGAGUAGAAUAUUUUUGGGUGGUUUUGGAGAUGAGAAUGAGUGAAUAUAUGUGGAUGCGUACUUCCGAAGUAGAAGCAGCAUGCGUGAAUGAACGUGCAAGUGAAUCUUGAUUUUAACCACAUGAUAAGCUCCUAAGGGUCUACACAGCUUGACCACACUCAAUGCUCAUAAGCAGUAAAAAGUAAAUGUGUGGCUCAAAGUCUAGCAAACAUGUAUAUAUGGCUAUGGUAGGAAUUUAAACUCUCAUCAUAAAGGAACUCAUCAUGUGUUAAAGAUUUUCAAAGAUAAAAUUCUCCAGAAUUCUAGCAUCUCUAGGAACAGAUAAACAGCAGCUCAACCUUGCCAUAUAAUAUCCGUUAACAACUUAGACUUCAGAUCAAGUUCUCUUCCCACAAGUUUAGGUUUAGAGGAAGCUUUAAAUUAUAAUAGUUAUGUCUAAACUAGAGAGAGAACUCAAAUUUGAAAAUUAGGCAGAGCAACUAUUCAUCAUAUCCAUGCUAGAGUUUUAUUAUUAAGAUUCAGUUUUGCAUAGCCACUUUAUUUAUUUAUUAAACACACUAAGCAAAAGAUAUAUAUAUAUAUAUAUAUAAGCACAAAAUCUUUAUUUGGUUUUUCAUAGUUAUGUAUAUUUAUAUUUUAAUAUAGUAUAAGUAUAAAGAUAGAUAUACAUACUUAGCGAGAUAAAUGGGGGUGCUCUCCCCCAAGCUGAAGUUUGACGUAAUUUCUUCUGAUGUAGCUAGCAGGUGGCAGAGGUGUAUUUGAAAGUUGGUAGCACCCUGACAGCGAUUAGAAUGUCCUCCGUCUGCUAGUCUUCUUGAUUCUUAAAUUCUGUGGAGCUCAAAUAGACAACAAAGCUUUGUGGAACUGAUUAGGUGUUAGCAUAAAUAUCUAGCCUUUAUCAUGUUGAGCCUCCUCAAUAAAUGUUACUCUCUAUUUUUAUAUUUUCGUUUUAUAAAGUAGAAAAAUAUUUAUUUUAUUUUUAUGCCACCAUAGUGAAUGUACUUAUGGGUUUUAUGCCACUCAUGUACUCACAUGGGGCUUACUAUUUUUUAACAUUUUUAUUUUCUUUUUAAAAUGAUAUGAACCUGAUUAACUAAGAAAAUUAUUUUAAAUAAUUGAAAGGAAAAGGAUAACUACCAAGUUUACCUCUUGGCAAGGCGUUCGGUGUUUUUAAGUCAUCCGAACGGGACUCUCUGUUUUCUCAGUUGUCAUGGGGUUUGUUGGGUGGCGCAGUCGGUGCUUCCAGUGGCGCCUCCUAUUCGUGUAUAGUUAUCUUCUCUUUCCACACCUGACUCGGUGCUAUGGUCUCCUUAGGAUAAUCUUGUUCAAGCUGUAUGUCCUCAGAUCUUAUCACUUCUCCUUCAUAGUCUGCCCAUCCAUCCUUGAUGAUUUCCCUCCUCUAGUUGCGGUUGCGUCGUCUUCUUCUUGUCCUGACCUGCUUAGAGUCUUCAACUAUAUAAUUAGGGUCAGUAAAAUAGCGACGUACCUUCUCUGAGGGGAAGUGUAUAUGGACUUCUCCAGUUCCAAUGUAGAUGAUUGCUUUAACGGUGCUAAGGAACGGUCUUCUAAGGAUGACGGGUGGAUCGUAUUCGUCUUCUCCCAUGUCAAUAACCUGAAAGUUAGUGUAGACAAAAUGAUCGUCUAUUUUGACAGGGACAUCAGUUACUAUACCUUUAACCUCUCGAAAUGUCUGAUCUGCCAUCUGGAGCUGAAUGUAUGUUGGUUUUAGGGGCAUGGUUCCGUACAAGAGCCGACAGGUGACUGCGGCCAUUAUGUUGACGCCCGAUCCGGUGUUGCAAAACGUCUUGUAGAAGUUGUAUCCAUUUAUGGAGCAAUAGAUACUUGGCAUUCCUGAGUCGUCCUUCUUGGUCAGAAAUGGUGACUUAAGUCGAUGAUCUUGUCCUUCAUGAACUGCACUGACCAUCUUAGCUGACUCGGUCCACACUUGCUUUUUCCUGUUCCUCCUGUUGGUCCUCUUCCUCGGUUUUUGUUG
rnacentral:lncRNA from 1 species